AUAUAAUUGGUGGUCGUUCUCCUUCCUUGAAAACGGGUGUUGGUGCCGCUGUCUUUCCAUUAUUAUUGAAUAUCCUCUUCUUGAAACUUUCACUUCUAUUAUAUUGGCCAUGAUUACCACCAAAGUGGUUACCAUUUCUGGCAUGAUAAUUUCCUCCACGAUGGUUAUCAUUGUUCCGAUGACCAUUGUCACCGGUAUGAUUAUUAUCGUGUUGUUGCUCGUUAUUCUUUGGUUGGGCUGGCUCAUUAUAGUGCUCCAAUAAUUUAGCCCUAUUCACUACAUCUAAAUACAAACACAAUUUGUGAGAAAUAAGGUAUUGACGUAUUUCGGGUUUUAAACCUCUUAUAAAUAAUCACGUCAUUCGCUCCUCAUUAUCGACCAAAUGGGAUACAAACUGGGACAACUCGGCAAAUUUAGCCUCGUAUUGCGACACGGUCAUAUUGUUUUACUCCAACUUGAUAAACUCCACCUCCUUCAUGUGACGAAUACUUUCAGGAAAGUACUUGUCAUUGAACAACUCUUGGAACUUCUCCCAAGACAUCUUCAGUGCGGCAGGCUGAGUACGUUUUACUGAUUCCCACCAGUAAUCUGCCUCUCCUCGCAACAUGAAGGUGGCAAAGGGAACCUUUUGCUCCUCUGAUCAUUCCAAGAUGUCAAAUAUCUUGGUGAUCUGCUUUAUCCACGUCUCCGCCUUAAGUAGUUUUGGCUCUCCCAAAAACUCCGGUGGUCCCAGCUCCUUGAACUGCUUAGCAGUGACCAACCAUGGGUUGCCAUUGUUUCCACCUGCCUUUUGAAUAGGAGUCUCUCUCACCUGAUGUUGCAUGAAUCGCAUAAAGCCUUUGAACAUCCCAUCGUUCAUCAUCUGAUCGGUGUUGUUGUUUACCUGAGGAUUAUUGUCUUCUUGUUGCACAUUAUCCUGGGUAUUGAUCGUUGGUGACUCAACGGUCUCAUGUGCUUCAUUGCUGAUCUCAACAUUUUCAGAUGCCAUUUUCAAACACUGUCACAAAACUAGGGUUAAUUGACAUAUCACAUAUUAUCCCUAUACUCUGAUCGACCAAUUAAAUACCAAAUAAACUUAGGUAGGUCAUACUAUCGAAGGAAUUCCCCGUCUCUCCCCUCCUAGUUCUUGUCUCACAUCUCAGCUAGGGAUUAUAUCCCUAAGCUUUGAUACCAACUGUGACGCCCCCAAAACAGGUAUACAUCACCCAUCUUGAGUCGCCAAAUACAUGGUACAUAAAUCAAAUACAAACUUAAUUAUACAACUGUCGGCUAAUAUACGACAAAACAUAGUUGAGAGUUUAAACAAGAAUAUUGCCUUCUAGACAAUAUCCAUUCUAAAUGGAGUCCUCAUUACAAUUAUUAUCACACUAUUUCACAGAAUAGUGAGGAAUACUAAAACAACCAUCUGGACCGUCAAUCCGUUCCCCGACUCGUCCCAGCUAUAUUCUCAUUUCUAGAAGAGAGCAGUAAAAGAAAGGGUGAGCUCAACUAGCCCAGUAAGAAAUAUUAUGACUAAGAGAAUGCAUAAUAAAUUAUCCUUAGCCUUCAACAGUAUAACAAUCGAUAGAAUAUAAUAGACAAUAAUUUUUAGAUCAACAACUGCAGCGGAAUAAGCAAUCCAUUAGAAGAGUCAAGUAGAGCAUAAAAUCUACUAUCGUUUAUGAUUUAAAAAGGUUUUCAUCAACUUUAUCGCUGAGACUAAGCUUAAUAAAUAAUCCACAUUAUCGAAUCAUCCCUGCACCACGACCAAGGAUAUUCAUGUAAUCAUCAAUGGUCAUGAUUAUACCAAAUAACCUCUGGUCAUAAUCAUACGAACAACUGUGCAUCAAUGAACUACAGGCCAAUGAGGACUUCCACCACAUCAUUCGUCACAGUACGGUCAUGAUUAUACCGAAUAAUCCCUGGUCAUAAUCAUACCAAGUCUAUCUAUGCACGUAAGCCAAAUAUGACUUUCAUCAUAAUAUAAGCAUGAGGAUGAUGACAAUGACAUAAUAAUUCAAUAAAACAAGUUCAAGGAUAAAUUUUAAAGAUUUAUAAUUUAAUUUAUCCAGAAUUCAAUAACGUUCAAUUUGUCAAUAAUAUGAGAUAUAUGAUGCAGCAAUUACUGUAGCAAUAAUUGAGUAUAAUUGAGUGACUUCUUACGUAAGUAUCAAUAAUCAAUACCAUGUGUUACUAUGCAACUACACGUAUUACUGUACUUUUACUACCGGGUAGUUCAACAGUUUUAACAGUAACACUUUCGCCGUUAUUUUUAUAAAAUGAUAACUCUGUCAUUUUCUAACUACGACAAUACUUCCAUUGUGGGGUCCACCAAUGAUUGUGCCGUCGUACGGAUAUUCUCGACAAAAAGAACAUUCCCCGACCAAACGAAUAUUUUAUAACAACUUGCUUACUUUGUAAAAAUUUUCACAUAUCACCCUUAACUUUAACCUUUUAUCAAUUUAACCAUUUACUAAAUAGAAUAAUAAUUAUAAGAAAAUUGAAUACUUUCAUCUCAUAAAAUUUGGGGUCUUACAAAAUAUGUUGGUGGGCCCCAUUUUUGACUGAAAUUUGAUUAUAGCCUAUAAAAUCAUCCGUAUGUGGAUUUCGGUCAAUUUCUGCUUGGAAUUUAGAAAAACUUAAACUUACAAAGUUGUAGAGAAUUGAAUUUUCUAUGGAAUGGACAUAAGAUUCGAAUUUUUCUGAUAAAAGGGAUAUUUAUUAUGAAUUAUUGACGUUCCAGAAUAAUUGAUUUUUGGAGUUUAAAAUAUUUAUUUUAAGAAAAACGGUUUAGCAAUUGGGUGGGCCCCACUUGUGUUGUAAAUGUGCUGAGUUCAGAUUUCAAUAGGUGGGCGCGAAAUUUUCUAAUAAAUAUUAUUAUUUUAUUAAAUUUUCUGCUUUGGUGUUCUAAGCAUUUUCUUAUAAAUAGGGUGCUUAGGUUAGAAUUGAAAAUCACACCAGAAACUAAAGUUUUCUCUCUUUAUAUUAUCGAACGUAUUUUUGUGAGUAUUUUGAUACUUUGAGUUUUGCUAUACGGUGCAAGUUCCCUUCAGCGUUAUAUCUGAUAUUCUAGCCAGAAGUACUAUUCUUUUGAGGUAAGAGAUGCUAUUUUUUUUAUAAAUGAUAUUAUUUCUUUCAAUAUCAUUAUGUCGGAAUAUUGGUAAGAUUUUUCUUGUAAAAUUCUUGUCUUUUUGUGUCGAGGUUGCUAUUCACGUAUACGGCACUAUUCAUGUAUACGGUACUAUUCACAGAAAAAUUAAAUUUUUUUUAUUUUUUUUUCUUGUCCAAGUUGUUUAUUAUGGUUACUAGCUUUGAUUGUAUCCAUGUUUAGAUCUUCAUUCUUGAAUUUUACUCCACAAUGAUUUAUUAUGGAGUAUUUUUGAACUUGUAUAAACUAAAGUACGAAUCCUUAAACCUUGUCCUUUUAUCUCACUAGAUUCAUUUUUUUAAAAUAUUUUCAUCAUUCUCAGUCCUAAAUGGUGAUAUAACUGAAUAUCUUUGGCCUGUAGUGCAAAGAUGAAUAGGUGUUGAGAUGAACAUGACCAACUGGGGAUACGAUUAAAUAUUUUGGUCGUAUUGCAAAUAUGAGUAUUUGAUUCAAGUUAUAUAUUGAUUGAUGUCACAGGGAUAAAAUAUUGAUGAUGAAUUUUAAAAUCAUAGAAGAUAGUAGAUUUCAUUCUCCACUUAACUCUUUUAAUGAAUUGUUAUUUUCGCUGCGAAUAUUGAUCCAAAACUUGUUGUCUAUUAUAUUCUAUCAGAUUUUUUCCUAUUGAGGACUAACGAUAAUUUGUUCUAUAUUAUCUUAGUCAUAAUGUUCUUUACUGGGCUAGUUGAGCUCACCCUUUUCCUUUUUGUUCCAUUUUUCUUCUCAGGAGGCGAGAAUGUAGCGGGUACUAGUCGGGGUAUGGAAUGAUGGUUCUAGAAAGUUGUUUAGCAAUCCUUACUAUUUUUGUAAAAUAAAGUUUCAAUAAUUGUAAUGAGGACUUAUUUGAGUUUGAAUACUGUCUAGAAGACAAUAUUUGUAUUUAAACUCACAGUAUAUGUGUUGUCGUAUUUUGCACGACAAUUGUAAUAAUGAAGUUGUAGUUAUUUUCUGUACCAUGUAUUUGGCGACUCAGAAUAGUUGAUGUAUACCUAUUUUGGGGGCGUCACAGUUGGUAUCUGAGCUUAAGGAUAUGGUUUCUGGCGGAGAUCGGGGAAUAGAACUAGGAGGGGAGAGACGAGUAAAUCCUUCGCUGGUAUGUCCUACCUAAGCUUAUUUGUUAGUUGGUAAGAGUAUAGGGUUAUUAUGUUGCAUGUCAAUUUCUUUAAUUAACCCUUGUUUUGUGGCAGUAUUUAAAAAUGACAGCUGAAAAUAUUAACGAUGGAGUGAAUGAGACUGUGGAAACACCUUUAAUCACCAACCAGGAGAAUGUGCAAUAGGACGAUAAUGUUCCUCCUGUAAACAACACCACUGAGCAGACGAUGAACGAUGAGAUGUUUAGAAGCUUUUUGCGGUUCAUGUAAAACCAAACGAGGGAGACUCCUGUUCAAAAUACAGGUAGAAAUAAUGGCAACUCACAGCUGGUCACUACUAAGCAAUUCAAGGAGUUGGGACCGCCAGAGUUUUUGGAAAAGCCAGAUCCGAUCAAAGCAGAAACGUGGGUUAAGCAAAUUACCAAGAUAUUUGAUAUCUUGGGAUGCACGGAGGAACAGAAGGUUCUAUUUGCCACUUUUAUAUUCCGUGGUGAGGAAGAUUAUUGGUGGGAAUCUAUAAAGCAUACCCAGCCUGCCGCAUUCAAUAUGUCUUGGGAAGCAUUUUAGAAACUGUUUAAUGACAAGUACUUUCCUGAAAGUAUCCGUCAUAUGAAGGAGGUAGAGUUUAUCAGACUAGAACAGAACAACAUGAAUGUGUCCCAGUUUGAGGCUAAGUUCGCAAAGUUAUCCAGGUUUGCACUUCAUUUGGUAGAGAAUGAGGAACGUAUGACGCGGAUGUUUAUGAGAGGUUUGAAACCCGACAUUCGUUAAUACCUCAUUUCUCACAAAUUUUCUCUAUAUUCAGAUAUUGUCAACAGGGCUCAAUUAUUAGAGCGAGAUAAUGAGUAUGUUCAACUGAGGGACCACAACCAGGGUCAGACCGGUGGCAGCAGUCAUCGGAGCAAUGAUAACCAGCGGGGAGGAAUGAAUACGGACAAAAGUGGUAACCACUCUGGUGGUAAUCGUGGCCAUGAUAGUAGAAGAAGCGAGUCAGGGGGAGAUUUCAAAAAGAGAAGGUACAACAAUGACAACGUGAAGACGUCAGCACCAACAUCAACUGUUUCUAGGGGAGGAGAACGACCACCGGUCGUAUGUUAUAAAUGCGGGAAAGAGAGACAUAUCAGCCUAAACUGCCCACGACAAUCCAAGGUGUCGACGUCAGGAUUUUUAUUUGUCCCUUUUCGUUACUUGUUCUUUGGUGUUCUCAUAUUAGGUGAGAUUUAUUUAAAAAAACAAGUGAAAAAGGUCCGAUAUGUGUAAUGUCGACGAUGGACUGUUAAGAGUCGCCAGUUGGUGUUUUUAAAUGGUUGCACCAACGCAAUCGAGAAAAGGAUUGCACAUUGACCCAAUGAUGUAACACUACUAAAUGGGUCUGUAAAACCGAGAUUCAUUUUGGGUCCGGGGGUUUGAUUAUGCGGAUGGAAGGAAUUAUGUGACGCCCCCAAAAUAGGUAUACAUCACCCAUCUUGGGUCACCAAAUACAUGGUAUAUAAUAAAAAUACAAGCUUAAUUAUACAACUGUCAUGUAACAUACGACAAAACAUAGCUGAGAAUUUUAGCUCGAAUAUUCUCUUCUAGACAGUAUUCAAACACAAAUAAGUCCUCAGUUAUUAUCACACUAUUUCACAGAAUAGCGAGGACUACUAAUGCAAACAUCUGGACCGUCAAUCCAUUCCCCGACUAGUCCCAGCUACGUUCUCAAUUCCUGAAGAGAACAGUGAAAGAAAGGGUGAGCUCAACUAGCCUGGUAAGAAAUAUUACGACUAAGAUAAUACAGAAUAAAUUAUCCUUAGCCUUCAACAGUAUAACAACUAAUAGAAUAUAAUAGACAAAUAGUUUAACUGCAGCGGAAUAAGCAAUCCAUUAGAAGAGUCAAGUAGAACAUAAUGUCUACUAUCUCCUCUAGAUUAAAAGUCCAUCGUUAAUAUUUCAUUCCUGUAAUACUCAUCAACAGUUCUUUGUUAUACUCAAGACAAAUAGAACUCUUAUCACCUGUCUUCACCUGAACCACCACAGAUUAUAAUCACAAUUUAUAUUUAUAAUCAAAUAAAUUAACAGUCCAACUUUGCACGUAAGCCAAAGAUAUACAACUGAAAAACUAAUAAUGCUGAGACUCAACUCAAUAGUAUCACGACCACGAAUUAUCCAUGCACUAUGGGCCAAGGAUAUUCGUGUUUUCAAUUAUGGUCAUGAUUAUACCGAAUAAUCUCUGGUCAUAAUCAUACCAAGUUCAUCUAUACACUAUAGGCCAAAGAUGACUUUUACCACAUCCAUGAAUUAAUAUUUCAUCGCUGAGACUCAGCUCAAUAAUUAAUCCACAUCAUUGAAUCAUCCCUGCAUUACAGGCCAAUGAUAUUCAUUAGUAUCACGACCACAAAUUAUCCAUGCACUACGGGCCAAGGAUAAUCAUGUUUUCAUCAACGGUCAUGAUCAUGCCAUAAAACAAUUCAUAUUUGCACCCUUGGCCUAAGAGAACCCAUAGCCAUGAUUAUACCAAAAAUUGUCCAUCAUUGCACUACGGGCCAAUGAGGAUUUUUACCACAUUAUUUGUAACAUUACGGUCAUGAUUAUAUCGAAUAAUCCCUGGUCAUAAUCAUACCAAGUCCAUCUAUGCACUACGGCCAAAGAUGACUUUCAUAACAAUAUAAGCAUGAGGAUGAUGACAAUGAUAUAAUAAUUAAAAAAACAAGUUCAAGGAUAAAUUUUAAAGAUUUAUAAUUUAAUUUAUCCAGAACUCAAUAAUGUUCAAAUUGUCAACAUGAUACUGCUUUGUGGAGUAAAAUUCAAGAAUAAUAUUGUAUCAAAAAUGAUUUGAACAAAAAAUAAUAUUUCAAUGAAGAUAAUAAUAAUAUUCAUUAUAUUAUAAACUCCAUUUAAUAUUAUUCAUUAUAUAAUAACAUUAAAUUUAUUUACUAAUAUUAUUAAUCAUUAAAUAAUAUUUUAAAUCAAUGAUUUUAUAAUACCUUAAUCCAAAUGUUAUCAAUCAGUUAAUAAUGUCAUAAUCUAAUAUUAUUAAUAUUAUAAUAAUAUUUUAAUUGUUUACACUUUACCAAAUAUUGUAUUUAAUCAUUCAAAAAUGCCAUACUCAUUUCAUCACCAAUGAUCAAAUCCCUCAUCAAAAAUAUGCAUAUACCUUAUAUAGGAUUUUCAAGCCAUAAAAUCUUAUUUACCAAUUUUUUAACUUUUCAUAACAUAUUUAAUUCAUAUGUUCGUAACUAAACCAUUUUCAUGAAAAAUGCCAAAUCAGUCCCAAAAAUAUUUUUUUUCUGGGAUUUAAAAGAAUAUAGUCCCAUAUUGAACAUAUAUUUUUCUCAGAAUUUUUAAAAUUUAUUUAUUAUUUUUCAUAUGGCCAAAACUGUCAAAUAUUUAGAUAUUUAUCAUAAACUAUAAUUUUAUCCCAAAAAUUCCAAAAUUUACAGGGUAUACUCCGGUUAUAAGGGUUUACUUUUAAAAUAGUAUUUUUUUUAUAAAAUUCAUAACUCCUAAUUUAUACACCCAAAAAUCUCUAUUUUUGGACACAAUCUAGAAAACUCAUCAAUUUAACUUUUUAAAUUUUUUCAGAAUUUUUGAGUGUCAAAAAAAUUACGAAAAAUGCCCCUGGCAGAAACCCCUUACUUACAGCGGUUGAACGAAAAUAAUAUUCAUACGAAUACGAAAAAUAAUUUCUCUUCAGAAUAUGAAAUAAAUAAUAAUCCUUACGAAUAUUGAACGAUAAUAAUAUUCAUAUGAAUAUGAAAAAUAAUUUCUCUUCAGAAUGAACAAAAUAAUAAUAAUCCUUAUCUCAAAAAGAAGAGUAUUCCAACUGGUAUAGCGGAUAUAUUCUUGAAGAAAACUUUCACUGUUUUUUACGCUCAAAGCUUUCUAAAACUCUAAAGAAAUACGCUCUAUAUUAUAGAAGAAGAAUUCUCUGAUUCUGGUGUGAUUUUCAAUUCUCACUAAGCAUCCUAUUUUUAGGAGAAUGGAAGGGGUACUGUUAAGAAAAAAUCACGGACGAAAAUUUUGAAAUUCACGGGCAGAAUUCUUAAAAUUCUUAGACGCACAUUUUAAAAACAUAAUAAUAUAAUAUUCAAGUAAAAAAAAUAACUUUAUAUAUAAUAUAAUAUAUUCUAUUUUUCAUAAAAAAACAAAACUUAUUAUAAUAUAUAUUAUAAUAUAUAUUUAUAUAUAUAAUAAUAAUAAUAAUAAUAAUAAUAAUAAUAAUAAUAAUAAUAAUAAUAAAAAUUAUACUCCCUCAUCUUCACGUACUUUUCCCCCUCCCCCAUUUUUUUUUCUUCCCAUCCAAUUNNNNNNNNNNNNNNNNNNNNNNNNNNNNNNNNNNNNNNNNNNNNNNNNNNNNNNNNNNNNNNNNNNNNNNNNNNNNNNNNNNNNNNNNNNNNNNNNNNNNUUGACAUUGUUUGACAAAAUUAACACUGUAACCACAAUUAUACACCAAAUUGAUUCAUUCGAACUACGUUUUCUCCAUUUCUUAACAUCUUAACAUAUUCAAGUUUCAAAUUAUCUAUUCACUCAUAAUCAAAUAUCAAUUUUGGUACUCUUAAAAGUCAUGUUCAUACAUAUGUUCACUGUAAAACCAUUUUCUUAUUUUUGAAUGUAAAGAAAGCAAUUUAGUACACUAAAUCCUUAUCUAGAUGUUAGUCCUAACAUCACAAACAAAUAUAAUCAUCAAAUCAAGUUGUAUAUCAACAAUUCUACAAAACUUGAUUCACAAAACUUGAAAAUUCAUGUCGUAAAACAUAUAUAUAUAUAUAUAUAUAUAUAUAAUAAAGUUAAUAACUCCCUCCUUCCUACGACAACUCCCUUCCCCCUAAUUUCAGAUUUCUAACAUUCACAUAUGGACCCCAUAUGUGGGCCCCACCUUUAUUAUAUUAAAUAAUUUUCUACCGAUUAUUUUAAAAAAUGGGUAAAUGGGGUCCAUAAAAUACGCAACAAAUUACAAUAAAUACUUCAUAAAAAUUCCCUCAAUAUUUUUAACAACAUUUUCAUUUUUGAAUUUUCAAAUUUUGACUUUUUCUAAAAAAGGCAACUGUUGACUUUUUGACCAAAAAGUCAACCCCGAAAAUUUUUGUGUUUAUAGUCUAUUCUUACCAAUUUCAUCAUUCUGGACUCAAAUAUCACGUCCGCGUCUCCAAAUUCAACUCCGAACUCAAAUUCUAUUUUUAAUAACAUUUAUUUAUUAUUAUUAUUAUAACUCGCAAUAUUAACAACCAGGUCGUUCCCAGGAAAGAGGGGCUUUUCGAUAAAGAUUUCUCCCUAUUGGCGCGCAAUUAGAUUAUCUAACCUCUCUUUGAAAGAACUUCUAGACAUUGUCAAUAUUGCAAAUAAUAAUAUGAAUAACUUUGUCGUCUCAAUUAUUGAUUUAAUAAUAUAAAAUAUUGUAACAAUAAUUGAACAAACUGAGUGACUUCUCACGUAAGCAUCAAUAAUCAAUACCGUGAGCUACUAUGCAACCACGCGUAUUACUGUACUUUUAUCACCGAUUAUUUUAUGACAACUUGCUUACUUUAAUUUUUUUUUAAAUAUCACCCUUAACUUUAACCUUUUAUCAAUUUAACCAUUUAAAAUAAAAUAAUAAUUAUAAGAAAAUUGAAUACUUUUAUUUCAUAAAAUUCUAGGUCUCACAAUCUCCUCUUUUUAUAAAAUUUUGCCCUCAAAAUUUACGUACGUACCUGGUAUUCGAAGAGAUGAGAAUACCUUGCUUUCUUUUCGGAUUGUACCUUCCCGAUUAUUUCCUCUCUAUCAUGAUUUUCUCAUUUCUCAUCUCAUGUAUUUAAGAUAUCAUUCUAGAAUAUAGUUUCAAAAUAAGGGUUAAUUGACAUGCCACAUAUUAUCCCUAUACUCUGACCGACCAAUUAAAUACCAAAUAAAUUUAGGUAGGUUAUACCAGCGAAGGAAUUCCCCGUCUCUCCCUUCGUAGUUCUUAUCUCACAUCUCAGCCAAGGUUCAUAUCCUUAAGCUCUGAUACCAACUGUGACACCCCCAAAAUAGGUAUACAUCACCCAUCUUGGGUUGCCAAAUACAUGGUAUAUAAUACAAACACAAGCUUAAUUAUACAACUAUCGUGUAACAUACGACAAAACAUAGCUGAGAAUUUUAGCUCGAAUAAUGUCUUCUAGACAGUAUUCAAACACAAAUAAGUCCUCAUUUAUUAUCACACUAUUUCACAGAAUAGUGAGGACUACUAAUGCAAACAUCUGAACCGUCAAUCCAUUCCCCGACUAGUCCCAGCUACGUUCUCAAUUCUUGAAGAGAACAGUGAAAGAAAGGGUGAGCUCAACUAGCCCAGUAAGAAAUAUUAUGACUAAGAUAAUGCAGAAUAAAUUAUCCUUAGCCUUCAACAGUAUAACAACUGAUAGAAUAUAAUAGACAACAAGUUUAACUGCAGCGGAAUAAGCAAUCCAUUAGAAGAGUCAAGUAAAAUAUAAUGUCUACUAUCUCCUCUAGAUUAAAAGUCCAUCGUUAAUAUUUCAUUCCUGUAAUACUCAUCAACUGUUCUUUGUUAUACUCAAGAUAAAUAGAACUCUUAUCACCUGUCUUCACCUGAACCACCACAGAUUAUAAUCACAAUUCAUAUUUAUAAUCAAAUAAAUCAACAGUCCAACUUUGCACGUAAGCCAAAGAUAUACAACUGAAAAACUUAUAAUGCUGACACUCAGCUCAAUAAUAUCACGACCACGAAUUAUCCAUGCACUACGGGCCAAGGAUAUUCGUGUUUUCAAUUACGGUCAUAAUUAUACCGAAUAAUCCCUAGUCAUAAUCACACCAAGUCCAUCUAUGCACUACAGGCCAAAGAUGACUUUUACCACAUCCAUGAAUUAAUAUUUCAUCACUGAUACUCAGCUCAAUAAUUAAUCCACAUCAUCGAAUCAUCCAUGCACUACAGGCCAAGGAUAUUCAUUAGUAUCACGACCACGAAUCAUCUAUGCACUACGGGCCAAGGAUAAUCGUGUUUUCAUCAACGGUCAUGAUCAUGCCAUAAAAUAAUUCAUAUUUGCACCCUUGGCUUAAGAGAACCCAUAGCCAUGAUCAUACCAAAAACUGUCCAUCAUUGCACUACGGGCCAAUGAAGAUUUUUACCACAUCAUUUGUAACAUUACGGUCAUGAUUAUACCGAAUAAUCCCUGGUCAUAAUCAUGCCAAGUCCAUCUAUGCACUAUGGCCAAAGAUGACUUUCAUAACAAUAUAAGCAUGAGGUUGAUGACAAUGAUAUAAUAAUAAAAAAAACAAGUUCAAGGAUAAAUUUUAAAGAUUUAUAAUUUAAUUUAUUCAGAACUCAAUAACGUUCAAAUUGUCAACAUGAUACUGCUUUGUGGAGUAAAAUUCAAGAAUAAUAUUGUAUCAAAAAUGAUUUAAACAGAAAAUAAUAUUUCAACGAAGAUAAUAAUAAUAUUCAUUAUAUUAUAAACUCUAUUUAAUAUUAUUCAUUAUAUAAUAACAUUAAAUUUAUUUAUUAAUAUUAUUAAUCGUUAAUAAUAUUUUAAAUCAAUGAUUUCAUAAUACCUUAAUCCAAAUGUUAUCAAUCAGUUAAUAAUAUCAUAAUAUAAUAUUAUUAAUAUUAUAAUAAUAUUUUAAUCAUUUCUUAAACUUAUAAAUAAUUUAUUUUAAUUGUUCACACUUUACCAAAUAAUGCAUUUAAUCAUUCAAAAAUGCCAUACUCAUAAGAUUUCAUCACCAAUGAUCAAAUUCCUAAUCAAAAAUAUGCAUAUACCUUAUAUAGGAUUUUCAAGCCAUAAAAUCUUAUAUACCAAUUUUUUAACUUCUCAUAACAUAUUUAAUUCACAUGUUCGUAACUAAACCAUUUCCAUGAAAAAUGCCAAAUCAGUCCCAAAAAUAUUUUUUUUUCUGGGAUUUAGCAGAAUAUAGUCCCAUAUUGAACAUAUAUUUUUCUCGGAAUUUUUAAAAUUCAUUUACUAUUUUUCAUAUGGCCAAAACUGUCAAAUAUUUAGACAUUUAUUAUAAACUGUACUUUUAUCCCAAAAAUUCCAAAAUUUACAGGGUAUACUCCUGUUAUAUACAUGUACUCCCAAUAAAAAUUUCACCAAUUUUGGAGUUAGCCACAAGGAGUUAUAAGGGUUUACUUUUAAAAUAGUAAUUUCUCAUAAAAUUCAUAACUUCUAAUCUAUACAUCCAAAAAGCGCAAUUUUUGGACACAAUCUAGAAAACUCAUCAAGUUAUCAUUUUAAAUUUUUUCAGAUUUUUUGAGGGUCAGAAAAAUUAUGAAACUACCCCUGGCAGAAACCCCUUACUUACAACGGUUGAACGAAAAUAAUAUUCAUACGAAUACGAAAAAUAAUUUCUCUUCAGAAUAUGAAAUAAAUAAUAAUCCUUACGAAUAUUGAACGAUAAUAAUAUUCAUACGAAUAUAAAAAAUAAUUUUUCUUCAGAAUGAAAAAAUAAUAAUAAUCCUUACCUAAAAAAAAGAGUAUUCCAACUGGUAUAGCUGAUAUAUUCUUGAAGAAAACUUUCACGGUUUUCUACGCUCAAAGCGUUCUAAAACUCUAAAGAAAUACGCUCAAUAUUAUAGAAGAAGAAUUCUCUGAUUUUGGUGUGAUUUUCAAUUCUAACUAAGCAUCCUAUUUUUAGGAUAAUGGAAGGGGUACUGUUAAGAAAAAAUCACAGACGAAACUUUUGAAAUUCACGGGCAGAAUUCUUAAAAUUCUCAGACGCACAUUUUAAAAACAUAAUAAUAUAAUAUUCAAGUAAAACAAAUAACUUUAUAUAUAAUAUAAUAUAUUCUAUUUUUCAUAAAAAACAAAACUUAUUAUAAUAUAUAUAAUAAUAUAUAAUAAUAAUAAUAAUAAUAAUAAUAAUAAUAAUAAUAAUAAUAAUAAAAUUAUACUCCCUCAUCUUCACGUACUCUUCCCCCUCCCCCAUUCUUUUCUUCCCAGCCAAUUUUCCAUUCAUCCAACAAAAUUCAAAUGUGGACCCCACCAUUAUAUAUAUAUAAAAAAACAAAAUUAUAUAAUACAUAUAAUCAAAACAUCACCAUUACCAAAUUUAUACACCACCUGUAACUUCAUUUCUCCCACCAAAGACUUUGUUACACACGUGGGCCCCACCCCUUAAAAUAACUUUCUAUCGAUUAUUUUGAAAAAUGGGUAAAUGGGGGUCCAACAAAUACUUCAUAAAAAUCUCCUCAAUUAUUUUAACAAUAUUUAUAAUCAUUAUUAUAAUUCACAAUAUUAAUUUACCAGGUCGUUUCCAAGAAAGAGGGGGCUUUCCAAUAAGGAUUUCUCCCUAUUGGCGCGCAAUUAGGUGACCAAACUUCUCCUUGGCAGAACUUUUAGACAUCUUUAAUAUUGCAAAUAAUAAUAUUAAUAACUCUGUCAUCUCAAUUAUUGAUUUAAUAAUAUAUAAAAUAUCGACAAUAAUUGAAUAAAACUGAAUGACUUCUUACGUAAGCAUCAAUAAUCAAUACCGUGUGCUACUAUGCAACCACGCGUAUNNNNNNNNNNNNNNNNNNNNNNNNNNNNNNNNNNNNNNNNNNNNNNNNNNNNNNNNNNNNNNNNNNNNNNNNNNNNNNNNNNNNNNNNNNNNNNNNNNNNUUUCAGAUUUCUAACAUUCACAUUGGACCCCACAUGAGGGCCCCACGUUUAUUAUAUUAAAUAAUUUUCUACCGAUUAUUUUAAAAAAUGGGUAAAUGGGGUCCAUAAAAUAUGCCAAAAAUUACAACAAAUACUUCAUAAAAAUUCCCUCAAUAUUUUUAACAACAUUUUCAUUUUUGAAUUGUCAAAUUUUGACUUUUUCUGAAAAAGUUAACUAUUGACUUUUUGACCAAAAAGUCAACCCCAGAAAAUUUUGUAUUUAUAGUCUAUUUUUACUAAUUUCAUCAUUCUGGACUCAAAUAACACGUCCCCGUCUCCAAAUUCAACUCUGAACUCAAAUUCUAUUUUUAAUAACAUUUAUUUAUUAUUAUUAUAACUUGCAAUAUUAACAACCAGGUCGUUCCCAGGAAAGAAUGGGCUUUCCGAUAAGGAUUUCUCUCUAUUGGCGCGCAAUUAGAUUAUCUAACUUCUCCUUGAUAGAACUUCUAGACAUUGUCAAUAUUGCAAAUAAUAAUAUGAAUAACUUUGUCGUCUCAAUUAUUGAUUUAAUAAUAUAAAAUAUUGUAACAAUAAUUGAACAAAACUAAGUGACUUCUCACAUAAGCAUCAGUAAUCAAUACCGUGUGCUACUAUGCAACCACACGUAUUACUGUACUUUUAUCACCUAUUAUUUUAUGACAACUUGCUUACUUUGAAAUUUUUUCAAAUAUCACCCUUAACUUUAACCUUUUAUAAAUUUAACUAUUUACUAAAUAAAAUAAUAAUUAUAAUAAAAUUGAAUACUUUUAUUUCAUAAAAUUCGGGGUCUCACAAUCUCCCCUCUUUAUGAAAUUUUGCCCUUGAAAUUUACGUACAUACCUGGUAUUCGAAGAGAUGAGAAUAUCUUGCUUUCUUUUCGGAUUGUACCUUCCCGGUUAUUUCCUCUCGAUCAUGAAUUUCCCAUUUCUCAUCUCUUGUAUUUCAGAUAUCAUUCUAGAAUAUAGUUUCAAAAUAAGUGUUAAUUGACAUGCCAUAUAUUAUCCAUAUACUCUGACCGACCAAUUAAAUACCAAAUAAAUUUAGGUAGGUCAUACCAGUGAAGGAAUUCCCUGUCUCUUCCCUCCUAGUUCUUGUCUCACAUCUCAGCCAGGGAUCAUAUCCCUAAGCGCUGAUACCAACUGUGACGCCCCCAAAAUAGGUAUACAUCACCCAUCUUGGGUCGCCAAAUACAUGGUACAUAAUACAAAUACAAGCUUAAUUAUACAACUGUCGUGUAACAUACGACAAAAUAUUGCUGAGAAUUUUAGCUCGAAUAUUGUCUUUUAGACAGUAUUCAAACACAAAUAAGUCCUCAUUUAUUAUCACAUUAUUUCACAGAAUAUUGAGGACUACUAAUGCAAACAUCUGGACCGUCAAUCCAUUUCCCGACUAGUCCCAGCUACGUUCUCAAUUACUGAAGAGAACAGUGAAAGAAAGGGUAAGCUCAACUAGCCCAGUAAAAAAUAUUAGGACUAAGAUAAUGCAGAAUAAAUUAUCCUUAGCCUUCAACAGUAUAACAACUGAUAGAAUAUAAUAGACAACAAGUUUAACUGAAGCGGAAUAAGCAAUCCAUUAGAAGAUUCAAGUAGAAUAUAAUGUCUACUAUCUCCUCUAGAUUAAAAGUCCAUCAUUAAUAUUUCAUUCCUGUAAUACUCAUAAACAAUUCUUUGUUAUACUCAAAACAAAUAGAACUGUUAUCACCUGUCUUCACCUGAACCACCACAGAUUAUAAUCACAAUUCAUAUUUAUAAUCAAAUAAAUCAACAGUCCAACUUUGCAUGUAAGCCAAAGAUAUACAACUGAAAAACUAAUAAUGCUGAGACUCAGCUCAAUAGUAUCACGACUACGAAUUAUCCAUGCACUACGGGCCAAAAAUAUUCGUGUUUUCAAUUACGGUCAUGAUUAUACCUAAUAAUCCCUAGUCAUAAUCAUACCAAGUCCAUCUAUGCACUACAGGCCAAAGAUGACUUUUACCACAUCCAUGAAUUAAUAUUUCAUCGCUGAGACUCAGCUUAAUAAUUAAUCCACAUCAUCAAAUCAUCCCUGCACUACAGGCCAAGGGUAUUCAUUAGUAUCACGACCACGAAUUAUCCAUGCACUAUGGGCCAAGGAUAAUUGUGUUUUCAUCAACGGUCAUGAUCAUGCCAUAAAACAAUUCAUAUUUGCACCCUUGGCCUAAGAGAACCCAUAGCCAUGAUAAUACCAAAAACUGUCCAUUAUUGUACUAUGGGCCAAUGAGGAUUUUUACCACAUCGUUUGUAACAAUAUGGUCAUGAUUAUACCGAAUAAUCUCUGGUCAUAAUCAUACCAAGUCCAUCUAUGCACUACGGCCAAAGAUGACUUUCAUAACAAUAUAAGCAUGAUGAUGAUGACAAUGAUAUAAUAAUUAAAAAAACAAGUUCAAGGAUAAAUUUUAAAGAUUUAUAAUUUAAUUUAUCCAGAACUCAAUAACGUUCAAAUUGUCAACAUGAUACUGAUUUGUGGAGUAAAAUUCAAGAAUAAUAUUGUAUCAAAAAUGAUUUAAACAGAAAAUAAUAUUUCAACGAAGAUAAUAACAAUAUUGAUUAUAUUAUAAACUCCAUUUAAUAUUAUUCAUUAUAUAAUAACAUUAAAUUUAUUUAUUAAUAUUAUUAAUUAUUAAAUAAUAUUUUAAAUCAAUAAUUUAUAAUGCCUUAAUCCAAAUGUUAUCAAUCACUUAAUAAUAUCACAAUCUAAUAUUAUUAAUAUUAUAACAAUAUUUUAAUCAUUUCUUAAACUUAUUAAUAAUUUAUUGUAAUUGUUCAUAUUUUACCAAAUAAUACAUUUAAUCAUUCAAAAAUGCCAUACUCAUAAGAUUUCAUCACCAAUGAUCAAAUCCCUCAUCAAAAAUUUGCAUAUAUCUUAUAUAGGAUUUUCAAGCCAUAAAAUCCUAUUUACCAUUUUUUUAACUUCUCAUAACAUAUUUAAUUCAUAUAUUCAUAACUAAACUAUUUCCAUGAAAAAUACCAAAUCUGUCCCAAAAAUAUUUCUUUUUUGGGAUUUAGCAGAAUAUAGUCCAAUAUUGAACAUAUAUUUUUCUCGGAAUUUUUAAAAUUCAUUUACUAUUUUUCAUAUGGCCAAAACUGUCGAAUAUUUAGACAUUUAUCAUAAACUGUACUUUUAUCCCAAAAAUUCUGAAAUUUACAGAUUAUACUCCUGUUAUAUACAUGUACUCCCAAUAAAAAUUUCACCAAUUUUGGAGUUAACCACAAGGAGUUACAAGAAUUUACUUUUAAAAUAGUAUUUUCUCAUAAAAUUUAUAACUCCUAAUCUAUACAUUCAAAAAUCGCCAUUUUUGGACACAAUCUAGAAAACUCAUCAAGUUGUUAUUUCAAAUUUUUUCAAAAUUUUUGAGGGUCAAAAAAAUUAUGAAACUGCCACUGGCAGAAACCCUUUACUUAUAACGGUUGAACGAAAAUAGUAUUCAUACGAAUACGAAAAAUAAUUUCUCUUCAGAAUAUGAAAUAAAUAAUAAUCCUUACGAAUAUUGAACGAUAAUAAUAUUCAUACGAAUAUGAAAAAUAAUUUCUCUUCAGAAUGAAAAAAAUAAUAAUAAUCCUUACCUCAAAAAGAAGAGUAUUCCAACUGGUAUAGCGGAUAUAAUUUUGAAGAAAACUUUCACUGUUUUCUACGCUCUGUAGACACUCGAAAUUUUCUGCACUCCUAUUACUAACAUUGCAGGAGGGUAGAUUCGUCUUUUGGAGAUAGCCUUGAAAGACGGCCUACAACAGUUCCGGAUACUACCGGGAGUUCCGUUCCAACCCGGAACACAAACCGGGAGUAUUGGCGCCAAACCCGGAACACACACCGGGAGUGUCAUUUCCAAUCUCGGAGAUAACCCCGAGAUAUGCAGAUCAAAAGAUUGUCAACAACACCAGAGAGGACAGUCUUGUCUCGGCGAUAACACCGCGACGUUCAGUUCCAGUCCCAGAUACAACACUGGGAAUAACAAUCCCAUCCUUGGUGAUAACCCCAAGAAAUGCCGUCGCAGUUUUGGCGAUAACUCCGGAAAUGCUUGUAUCAACCACAUGCAAUCAACUUUAAUCACAGAUGACAGUGAGGCACACAAACAAGCAGUCCAAUCUCAGCUGUAACCCUGAGCAACGUCUGCUUUCCGCUUAAAUCGGCGAUAACCCCGGUGAGGAGUCACCAACGUCAUCUCACAAUGUCAACAAGAUGAUAUCGCAGCAUACCAACAAGUAGUCCAAUCUCAGCUGUAACCCUGAGCAACGUCUACUUUCAACUCAACCCGGCGAUAACUCCGGCAAAGAGUCAAACAUCAUCUUGUUCGUCCAACAAAUGGCACGUCGUCUCAACAUUUUAGACAUACAUACAUCCAACAAUGUCCCAAAUAACCGAGGAAUGACAAUCCCGAGUGACUAUUACGUGUGACAGUACUUUGGAUAGAAUUUGAAGCUUGAUGACCAUGGGCAUAGACCCCUCUUCCUGACUUUGUACAACCUCUAAUCCAUGUCAUUACGUAACUCUCGACACCAGCGAUCUGAAGAAGUACAAACACGCUUCGUUUGGAUGCUAGGAUUGAAGUUCUGCAAGUUCGAUUGGAUAUUCUAGUACGCGAGUGCAUGUACUACGAGACGACGGGAUCCGCGAAGCCCGGUCCCACCACGACCAGCCGCAGGUAGACUUGCGGCUGCCGUAGGUAGACCUGCGGCCAUCCGUCUAUAAAUAUAGNNNNNNNNNNNNNNNNNNNNNNNNNNNNNNNNNNNNNNNNNNNNNNNNNNNNNNNNNNNNNNNNNNNNNNNNNNNNNNNNNNNNNNNNNNNNNNNNNNNNUUUCUGUUUGUAUAUAUAUACUAAUAUAUGUAUAUAUUUCUUAUAUAUGGACUAACAUUAUCGAGUUAUGCCUCGAUUGAGUCUAGACUUCGGUCUGGAGCGUUUAUUUGCUUUCGUAUAUAUAUAUAUAUACUUAUAUAUAUGAACUGUGGUCAGACUCUUUCUGAUGAGCCUGGAUUUACAUCCUGAGCAUUUAAUUGCUUAUAUAUAUAUAUAUAUAUACAUAUAUAUAUAACUGUUGUCGGACAUAUCCGAUGAGCCUGGAUUUUACAUCCAGAGCGUUUAAUUGCUUUUAUAUAUAUAUAUAUAUAUAUAUACAUAUAUAUAACUGUUGUCGGACAUAUCUGAUGAGCCUGGAUUUUACAUCCGGAGCGUUUAAUUGCUUAUAUAUAUAUAUAUAUAUAUAACUGUUGUCGGACAUAUCCGAUGAGCCUGGAUUCACAUCCGGUGCGUUUACUGCUUAUAUAUAUAUAUAUAUAUAUAUCUGUACAUAUUUAUAUAUUUACAUUCCAUCCCUCCUGGAGUUCACUUCGUGGCGGUGAUUGUUUUUACGGCUUUCUUUACAUUCUUGUCCCGCCUGGAGUUCACUUCGUGGCGGUGAUAGCAUUUACUGCUUUAUUUACUUUCCUGAUCCCCCGUGGAGAAUAAUUCGUGGUGGCUGAUCAUGUCAAUAUAUAUAUAUUUAUCGCUUUUAUAUAUAUAUAUAUUUGCCUGCUGAUCGAUUCCCCAUGGAGAAUAAUUCGUGGUGGCUAUCAUAUCAGUAUAUAUAUAUAUAUUUUACAGCUUAUAUAUAUAUAUAACUGCUUACUUCUUUCCAUAUCAAUUGCAGUAUCAUGUGAGCCUAGGAAUCAUGUGAUCUUACAGAUUCAGAAUGAUGAAUCUAGAUUCGGUUCCCAUGAUGGACGCUUUCAGCUGUAAGCAGCUUGUACAUUAUUUUACAGUGUCCGAGUUUCCUUGGAUGGUUGUCAUGCCCGUGAGGAAGUCGGCACUGCUGUAUAUUAUUUUCUCGCAGAUGCUUCGCAUCUUGAAAAUAAAAGCAAACAAGCCGAACUUGUAGUAAUAAAAUAGAAGUAUCAAAGGCCUCAAUUACUAUUGAGCACGGGGUUUGAAAAACCUUUUUUUUCUAUAAAACGUCAUUGCUAUAUCCUGUUUAAAACUGGUUUUUUCUAUAAAUUCAAACCCUAUGUAUAUAGAUGCGAACGAGGCAUAACACUACUUUCAAAUAAAUUGCACAUUGAUCCACACACACACACACAUUCAUAUAACAGUUUCUUUGAAGAGUGGUGGUCACCGUGGCAACACGGAUGUCGGGGGGUACCUAACACCUUCCCUCCGCAUAAUCAAGCCCCCGAACCCUCAAUGAAUCUCGGUUUCACCGACCCGUUUAGCAGUGCCAAAUCACUAGGUCAAUGUGCAAACCUUUUCGGUUGCGUUGGUGCAACCAGUUAAAAACACCAACUGGCGACUCUUAAAGUCAAAUCGUCGACAUUAUACAUGUCGGACCUUUUUCACUUAUUUUUUCAAACAAAUCUCACAUUAACAUGAGAACACCAAAGAACAAGUAACGAAAAGGGACAUUAAAAAUCCCGACGUCGACAGGUGGCGACUCUGCUGGGGAUUCCAGUAAGAGGGCUUAAGUCGCUAUUACAAGCUUUUCAUAAUUGUUAUAUACUUGUGUGUGAUUGUUGCAUUUACAUUUCUGAUAAAUGUGUACGAAUGCAUCUUACUUACUCCACUGCUAAAUAUUUGUCUGUGAUAUGAGUGCUUCGCACAUAUUAGUGCUUCGCACAUGUCAUUAUUUUGCAUAAACGGUGAGACACGUUGUAUGUGAAUAUAUGUCGUGUGGUCCCUCCGUUAGGAGGCUAUCCUAUCGAUGUUUGAUUACUGGACCCGUGGGAAGAAUAAUCCCUCGGGGCUCAGGAAAGGCACCACCCAGAUUCGCUCCAGUUGAAAGACCAGAUUAACUUCCCGUUGAGUAGAUUGCGAUGAUCUGGGAACCUUCAUUGCCAAAAAGCCGCGAGAGAAACCCUAGGAUAGGUCAACCUCUGAUAAACCAAACGCGGAGGAAAGUCUCUUCAUGCUUUCCAUUUUCAAAUUACUUGUAAAAGCAUUUACUUGUAAUUUUAUUCCAGGUUCAUCCAUAUGUAAUGGAAAAUAUGAAGAUACCUGUGCAUAACAUGUUAUCAAUUGACUAAACCGGUUUUGCAGGACAAAAUUCCUAGAACGGAUAUGUUAUGAUAACACUUACAUUUUUCAUAAAGACUAAACUAUGUAAGUCUUUUUGUAGGGAAGCAAUUGGGCCGGUUACCCGUUCCAAGUCUAAAAAGGCGUCCAACCUACAGACAAUCAUGUCUUCCUCUGAACAGUAUAAUCCUGUCUUUCGGGAAGAAUUUGACGGAUUGAGCAGACAAAUUACAGACUUGGGUGUCCUACUAAGAGAGUUACACCAAUCCACUCAGGGUUCAAAAAUUCCCACACAUACAGAAUCCUCUACACAAGGGGGAAUUCAAAAUCUGGAAAAAACAAUUCCAGAUCAUCAGCUGGAUACCAUCACUAAAGACCUUGAAAGCACCCAUCUCAAAGCAAAUCUAGACACCGGUGAUAUCAGGAAGAAGGUCCUUCAAAUGGAGGAAACCAUUCGCACUCUUAAAGGGAUUGGAACACAUGGCAGUGUUUCUUACACAGACCUUUGUAUAUUUCCUGGUGUGCAUUAUCCAGAGAAAUUCAAAACCCCUGAUUUUGAGAAAUAUGACGGAUUAGGGGAUCCUUACACAUAUUUAAAGGUGUUUAUUGGAGAGCUCGGAUCUUAUGCUGAGGAUGAAAAGCUCAGAAUGCAGCUGUUUCAGAAAAGUCUGACUGGAGAAGCCCUUUCAUGGUAUACCAGAUUAGACAACUCUAAGAUCCAUAGAUGGGAAGAGCUAGCCCAUGGCUUCCUCACCCAAUACAGUUUUCAGUCUCAGAUGGCUCCUGACCGGUACCAGAUUACGAAGGUCAGGAAACAGUCUAACGAGUCAUUUAGAGAGUAUGCUCAGAGGUGGAGGCGCCUUGCUGCUCAAGUUAUUCCUGCCAUGACAGAAUCAGAAAUGGUUAUGACCUUCAUAGAUAUACAGGAAACCCCUUUCUAUGAAAGAGUCCUAGCUGGCAUUGGCAAGCCAUUUUCUGAAAUGAUUAAACACGGCGAGAUGGCUGAAAUGGGAUUGAAGUCUGGUAAAAUUCAAGACCUAGCCGUUCUUAAGGCUGUUGCUGAACACAUUCAAUCCGGAUCUUAUGGAAACAACCCCCGGAGGGUCCAUAAGAAGAAAGAAGAGGAUGUUUCCUUGAUACUGCAAGGACAAAAAGGCAAGUCAAGCGCGCCUAUGCAGAGGAAAAACUACUCCUCUUUCACAACACAACCUUCAAGCCCUCCAUUUCCCAAAAGUGGAGAAGUAAAGCGAUUUCGAACGUUCACACCCUUACGGGAUUCGCUCGAAAAUAUUCUUGCUCUUCUGACUACUCAGAAGAAAAUUAUGCAUCUUCUUCCGCCAGCCAACCCUACUGGUAAGGGUUUCAAUGCUAAUCGAAAAUGUGCAUAUCAUGCUGGGGCACCCGGGCAUGAUACUCAAGAUUGUUGGGCCUUGAAGCACAAGAUUCAAGAUUUGAUCGACAAUGGUGAGAUCGUAGUCACCAAACCAGAUCAACCCCACGUACAAGACAACCCUUUCCCUCAACACAAAGAGGAAGAAGUCCACAUAAUCAGUUGGAGCACUGGACAUGAUUCUAAUUCUACUGGUGAAUCCUCCCAACCCAUCAAAGAUGGCGUUGACAAAUGGGAUUAUGCAAAGUUCCAAUUCACCAUGGAACGAAAGAUGAAGAAUCUUCACAAAAUAGUUGAGCAAUUGGCAGAACUGGUGACACACCAACAUCAAGCCACACGCCAACUAAUCAGGCAGGAACAUGCCUAUCUCCUUCUAUUUGUUAUGAAUGCUCCCUCAACACCUUCAGAAAGCGAAGCUAUGAAGGAUAAGGUUGCAAAGCGAGCAAGUGCUAAAGCCCGUCGGGAUUUUGCUGAUAGCAGAGAAUUCACUUAUCUGGGCCAAUCUAUGGAGGAGAUAAUUCAAAUGUUGAUCAACGAAGAAAGGAUCACAUUCCUUCUCCCUCCAAUCAAUCCCCGCUCAGGACGGUUCAAUCCUGAUGAAAUGUGUUAAUAUCAUUCACAUUCUCGCGGUUACAGCACAGAAGAAUGCUGGGCACUCUGCCAUCUUAUUCAAAAUCUUAUUGAUAGCGGUGUUCUGCAAGUGGCAGAUGAUUACACUGUGCAAUUUAAGGAUGGGAAUGCAUGUCCUACUCAAUGGAAGGGAUCAGUAGCUAUCAUAUCCGAAGAAGGUGACGAGACUGUUAAAGCAUUUCCUAUACAACCAAUUCAACUCAAAGGAGUUUACAACACUUUGGAAAUGGCCGCACCAGAGCCCAUUCUCUUGCCUUGCAGAAUACAACAUCCUGUUGUCAGCUUACACAGAGUGCCAUGGAACUAUGGAGAAGCUGAAGGAUCUACGUCUCAUACUGCUGCUGUAAUGACAAAAGAGAAUCCACUAUAUCUUCCUCAACGGGUCAUCAAGCCUAUUUACGAAGCAAAGGGGAAAUUGUCCAUGGAGAAGAUUGAAAAAUUCCUCCAUACUAUGGGCCACAAUGAAGCCAAAGUGGUUUUAAGCUUGCGUGAAGCUCCACACCAGAUAUCAAUCUUGGACUUGGUUUUCUCUUUCGAAGAUCAUCGGAAGGUUUUGCUAAAGGUUUUGGAAGAAGCCUAUUUACCAAAAUCAGUGGAUGUGGAAAAAUUUAAACAUUUGGUUGAUCACAUUUUCAACAACAAUGUGAUAUCCUUCACUGAUGACGACAUACCUCCCAAAGGGACUAGUCACUGUAAACCAUUACACAUUGCUGUGUUGUCUUCUGGGUAUAUGCUCGCAGGAGUAUUGAUAGAUAGAGGCUCAUCUCUAAAUAUCUGUCCUUAUGCCACCUUAGUGAAGAUGAACAUCAAUCCCAAUCGAAUCCAAAGUAGUCAUACGAUCAUCAGAGCUUUUGAUGGAUCUCGACGAAAUUCUGUGGGAAAGAUUGAGUUGUCAAUUGAGAUUGGUCCCCAUACAUUCAACGUAUCCUUCCACGUCCUCAAGAUAGAUUCAGGAUACAACCUGUUAUUGGGGAGACCAUGGAUACACAUGGCUGGAGCUGUUCCCUCCACCUUACAUCAACAACUCAAAUACAUCAUCAACAACAGUCUAAUCACUGUUAAUGCUGAGCCAGAAGGUCCUAAACCAGGAGCUCUGCCAAUUAUCAGUUUCAAUUCAGAAGUUGAGCCUGCUAGUUUUCACACUCUGGAAGUGAGUAAUACGCAAUACCAUCCUAUUGGAGCACCACUUCCCGUACCUAAGAUUUCUGACGAGGUGAUGUCCGCCACUCAAGAAAUGAUGUCAUUGGGUUACUAACCUGGACAAGGGCUUGGUAAGGAACAGCAGGGUAUCACACACCCUAUACAACUGUCCAGUCAAAUCGGUACAGCCGGGCUCAGCUAUUCUGCCAAUUCCAAUCAUAGGAAUCCUCAUAAGCAUAAGCAGAUUCCUCAACAUGCCGUCGUACGGCGAUCUUCGCUACCUUUACCACAUGAGUUAAUGCAAUCUCUUGUAAAGGUCCCAGCCCAGACAAUGACUAUGCUAUUUCCGAGACCGGUACCAAUCAAAGCUAAAGAGGUGCUGACUCAUGAUCCCGCGACGGAAGAAAAGGAGCGAAAACGUAAACAUGACCUUGCCUUGAUGAUGGCAGGCAUUCACAUCAUUGUUCACGAUGAACAUACAAACAGAUACGCUCCAGACGAUGAUUGCCUAGAUGUCAUGGUUAUCAUUCAGGAGGAGAAGGACACUGACAAUCCUUCUAUGUCCUUCAAGACUUUGCCCUUGACAAUUGGAGCAGUAUUCCAUGCAUUGGUCGAUGAGGGUAAAAUGGGCAAAAAAUCCCUCUGCCCUGUAGAUAACUUUUAAUUGCUUACUUUCCUUUACAACACUAGCAGUUAUUUUAUCACGUACAUGCUAACACUUUUGUAUGAUCGAACAGUUGCAUAUAUUAAGUGAAAGCGUAUUUUGUUUCAGGACUCUGAAUUUAGAUGUGCCUGUACUUGCUGAUAAGGUGCCUUCUCUCCACAAGGACUGCAACUUUGAUGCAAAGUUGGACUCAGACUUGAUGGACAUCAAAGAGGACAUUGAGACACCUCAAGAGAUUAAGGAAUGGGUCGCCGACAAACCUAAACCCAAUCUUAAUCAAACCACUCCUUUCAAUCUUGGAACCACUCCUUUCAAUCAACGGAAUGACAUGGUUGCGCUAUUAACCCAAUUCUAGGAUGUGUUUGCAUGGUCCCACGAAGACAUGGUGGGAUUGUCCACGGACAUUGUUCUUCAUCUCUUUCCCAUUAAAGAAGGAUUCAAGCCGGUUAGGCAGAAGCUCAGGCGAUUAAAACCUGAGUGGAGUUUAAAGGUUAAAGAAGAAAUUGUGAAACAAUUUCAAGCUGGCAUCAUCAUGGUGUCUAUAUAUCCGGAGUGGAUAUCCAACAUUGUUCCCGUACCUAAACCAGGGGGAAAAGUACGAGUCUACGUGGAUUACUGGGAUUUGAACAGAGCUUGCCUUAAAGAUAGCUUUCCCGUACCGUUUAUCCACAUUCUCAUUGACGAUACAGCUCAAUAUGGCAUGUACUCCGUUGCUGAUUGCUUCGCGGGGUAUCAUCAAAUUAUGGUCGCCAAGGAGGAUCGUGAGAAAACUGCUUGCAUCACGCCUUGGGGAACCUUUUGCUACAGACGGUUGUCAUUUGGCCUCAUCAAUGCUGGGGCGACUUACCAACGAGCUAUGAUGGCUCUUUUCCAUGAUCUAAUGCAUAAGGAGAUAGAGAUCUAUGUGGAUGACAUCAUUGUCAAAUCCCGGAAGGAGGAUGACCACUUAGACCAUCUCAGAAAGUUGUUCAAUAGGUUGUGUAAGUACAACUUGAAGUUGAAUCCCGCCAAGUGCGCCUUUGGUGUUAAGUCAGGCAAGUUGCUAUGGUUCCUAGUCAGCCACAAAGGAAUUGAGCUGGAUCCUGCUAAAAUCCAGGCCAUCAAGGAAAUGCCCAUUCCUCAGACAGAAAAAGAAAUACGGGGAUUUUUGGGAAGAAUCAACUUCAUAAGCCGAUUCAUUUCUCAACUCACAGCAACCUGUGAGCCAAUCUUCAAAUUGUUAAGGAAGAACUCCUCCAUGAAAUGGAAUGAUGAGUGCCAGAAUGCCUUCCUCACAAUUAAAGAACAGCUGAUUAACGCUCCUGUUUUGGUACCUCCCAGGGAUGGUAUUCCCCUGUUCAUGUACCUAUCCAUAAAUGACAAUGCUAUGGGCUGUAUGCUGGGGCAAAAAGACAAUAGAGGCCAAGAGCGAGCUAUCUAUUACCUUAGCAAAAGAUUCAGCAUCAGUGAACACAAGUACACUUUGAUCGAGAAAACUUGUUGUGCUUUGGCAUGGGCCUCCAUGAGAUUACAACAUUAUCUUUAUGGUCACACAACCCAUCUUAUAUCCCGCGUGGAUCCUCUUAAGUAUGUGUUUAGCAAACCCAUACUGAAUUGUCGGCUGUCCAGAUGGCAGUUGAUCCUCCAGCAAUUUGAUAUUGUAUAUGUGACACAAAAGUCUGUCAAAGGUCAAGGCAUUGCGGAUCAACUGGCCGCCGCACCUGCAGGGGAUUACAAACCUCUAAAAACAUACUUUCCCGACGAAGGGGUAAUGGCAAUUCAGCUAACGCAUCAGUACGAUACAUCCCAGCUGUGGAGAAUGUAUUUUGAUGGAGCUGUUAAUUCAGAAGGCUCCGGAGCUGGAGCAGUUUUAAUAUCUUGCACGGGGGAGCAGUAUCCCGUCGCCGUCAAUUACAGUUUGUCAAUACCAACAACACAGCUGAGUAUGAAGGCUGCAUUAUGGGACUCAAACUUGCCCGUUCAAUGGGUAUUAGGCAUUUAACUGUCUUUAGGUAUUCCGAACUGGUGAUCAAGCAAUCCACAGGAAUCUAUCAGACCAAAGUAUUGCAUUUAUUGCCCUACCAUCGGCAAGUUAUACAGAUGGCUUUGGAGUUCGAAGAAAUCUCCUUUCUACACAUUCCUCGCAACAGGAAUGAUUUUGCAGAUGCUUUAGCAACAUUGGCUUCCUUAGUUUACAUACUUGACAAGGAAAACAUGCCAAACAUCACGAUUGCUAUGCAUAAGACCCCAGUUUAUGGGAAUUACAUUGGAGAAGUAUCGAAUGAGCUACCUCCCGUCCAUAACCCUUGGUAUCAACAUAUCAAGGAGUAUUUAUGAGAUGGAUCUACACCCGCCGAGGCGAGCCUAACUGAGAAAAGGCGGAUUCAUCGACUUGCUAUGAAAUUCUACAUGAGCGGAGAUACACUCUACAAAAGAGAUGUAGGACUAGGUCUCCUCAGAUGUCUGGACAAAGACCAAGCUCAGAGACUCAUGGAUGAGAUCCAUGGUGGAGUAUGUGGCCCUCACAUGAAUGGAUCCCUCCUUAUUAAAAAGAUUCUCAGAACGGGACAUUAUUGGCUUAUACUCAAGGCUGACUGUGAUGAUCACGUCAAGAGGUGCUAUCAAUGUCAAAUCCAUGGGAAUGUUAUCCACGCCCCUCCAAGGGAACUCCACAAUAUGAGUUCGCCAUGGCCCUUCUCAAUGUGGGGAAUGGAUGUGAUCGGGCCCAUCGAGCCCAAAACCAGUAAUGGACAUCGGUUCAUAUUCACCAUGAUCGACUACUUCACCAAGUGGGUUGAAGCAGCUUCCUUCCCCAAGGUUAUUAAAGAAGUCAUCAUUGCGUUCAUCAGAAACAAUGUUGUUUGUCGAUAUGGGAAACCAGAGGUUAUUGUGUCAGACAAUGCUAAGAACCUCAACAACAAAAUGAUGGAGGACUUAUGUAGAAAAUUCCACAUUAAACAUCUUAACUCCGUCAUCUACCGACCAAAGAUGAAUGGUGCUGUUGAAGCUGCUAAUAAAAACGUCAAGAAGAUCAUGCAGAAAAUGUCUGCCAAUCACAAAGGAUGACCUGACCUCUUGCCCCUAACUUUAUUAGCCUACAGAACUUCAAUGCGUGUUUCCACUGGGGCAACCCCUUACUCACUAGUCUAUGGGAUGGAAGCAGUGCUCCCCAUAGAGGUGGAAAUGGAAUCCCUCAGAGUAUUGAUGGAUGCUCAGUUGGAUGAAGACCAAUGGGUACAAGACAGGUAUCACGAAUUGUCUCUGAUAGAUGAAAGGCGAACCGCAGCUAUCUUCCAUGGUCAGUUAUAUCAGCAAAGGAUCACACGAUCCUAUAACAAAAAAGUCCGACUACGGCAAUUCAAACAACAUGACUUGGUCUUGAAGAAGAUCAUUGGCAAUCAAGAUCAGUCUAAGGGAAAAUUCGCUCAUAACUGGGAAGGCCCAUUUUUUGUCAAGGAAGUAUUGACAGGAGGUGCUCUUAGAUUGCAAGAAGUGGAUGGUGAUGAAUUUCCACAUCUCAUUAAUUCAGACACCGUGAAACGGUACUAUGUCUGAAGUUGCCAUCAGACCGAACAUCCUGGUUUUGAUCAUCAAAUCACCAGUUAUUCCGGUUUUGAACCUUUCCUUUUACAUACUUUUCUGCCCCUCAGGGAACCAUACAAUUCGGACCAGCAGCCUGGUUCUUUUCAGAUUCUCCUGAAAAUGAGAAUAAACUUUUCACAUCUUUUCAAUUCCUCCCGAAAACGAGAAUAAACUUUUCACACACUUACAGUUUAUCCUUAAGAUGGGAUUAAACUUUUCUACAUCUGCAGUUUAUCCUAAAGACGGGAUCGAACUUCUCAAACUUUAUAGUUUAUCCUGAAGACGGGAUCAAACUUUCUCCACACUUGCGGUUUAUCCCCCUCAUGGGAUUAAACCUUCUUUUCCCCGCAGUCUAUCUUGCUUAUAGGAUUCAUAUCUAUUCCCCACAGCUUAACCCCUAUAUGGGAUCAAGAUCUUCCCCGCGGAUUCACCUGCACAUUUGGACCCCCACUUUUCAGUCAUUCGUCCUAAGGGGUGAACUACGUCGACCUGAUCUCCUUGAUACUCGGGGGUACAUAGGCAACCAUAUUCUAUAUGGCCCGGUCACAACAAUACAGAAAAAACAACAAAAACAUUUCUACCCUUUCUUCACAAAAAACAAAAAAAAAAUACUUCCAUACCCUUUUGCCUUCAACAUUCAGCGUUGAACCUCCUACACUAGGUUCGAACUACGCAGACUUGAUCUCCUCUUCAAUAGGAGUACAUAGGUAACCAUUUAUGGUGCAGUCUGACCCCUACCAGAACAAGCAUACUUGUCACACCGUACUGGGAUCAAACUUCAAAUUGCCCCACUUCAUCAGUUUCAGAUCAAAGGGAUGGAAUUAGCCAACCUCUUCUCACAAAUAGAAGAUACGGUGACCAUCUAAGCUGCGAUCGUGCCUCAAAGAGCAACACCAAACCAUAAGAGAUGGAAUUAACUAGGCUUCUCCUGAAUAGAAGUACUGGCGACCAUCUGUGGAGUGGUCAAUCUCAGAGAGGAAAAAACUAUCAUCCUCUCCAUUUUUCCAUACAGAUACCAGUCCCAAGACACCAAAGAUGGUAGGGAUUUUCAGAAAUCAAUGAUUCAUUCUGAGAGAUCUUGCGAUGUCUCAAUGUCCAUCUAUCAAGGAUAAGUUCAGAAUGCAUCAAGAUCAAAGGCCCUGGAGAAACAGGCAAAUAUCAAGCAAGUAUCAAGGCAUAACUAAAAGGGAAGUGAAUCAACAUAUAUUUCCUUGCCAUACAUAAUACUGUUUGAUAUAUACAUUUGUGCUGUACAUGACAAAAUGGCUAAGCUAGUCUGUGCAGGAACAUAGAAAGCUAUCUAUUGAUCUGUGUGAAUACGAACUAUCAGACCCAACAUAGCGUCCCUCUCUGAAGACGGAGGUAAUGCUGCAAGCUCCUGCCCAAGGGUAUCUACACUAGCUAGAAGAUUAGAAGCCAACUGCAUGGUGGCAUAAUGUCCAUUAAUGUAAGCGCUCAUAUCGGCAAAAGUGAUAGCCAUCUCGGAUCGCACUGAAGUACUAUCUGCAAUGGCCACAUCCCUAACAGAUAAGGCGGCAUCCCGCUCCACGAUCAUGGCAUCCCUGGCCGAUCUAGUGUCGUCCCUCUCUAACAGAGCGGCGUCUCUCCCAUCAAGAGCAGUCAACAUUGCAGCCCUAAUCUGAUCUCUCUCAUAGGUCAUCAGAUGUAAGCUCUGCUCCAGAUGAUGUACUGAAUGCUGAGUAAUAGUAGCACUCGGGGUGGGAGAAUCUAGCACAAAUGCUGGCAACCCAGCAGUCAACUCAACGGUGGGAAUGACAGUCUCCUCUAUAGGCUCCUCAUCGUCAUCAUCAGUCUCCUGCACUUUGGAUACUGCCACAGCCAAUACAGUCUCUGUCUCUAUACAUGCAGAAUACUCUGCAGAACUACCUGGAUGACUGACAGAAAACUCAUCCAACUCUCGCUGAUCCCAACAGGCAUACAACCUGGAUCUGUCCUCCGCUGACAACCGGUGUGAUGCAAAACGCUGACUCACUGCCCCCUCAUAUGGAUGGAAGUCCUAAAACUGGUCAAACUGACACAUCACGGCCAGUGGGUGGUAGGUAAUCAUGCCCCUCAAACCAGUUAGAGGGAGAUAAUCCAUGCCCGGAGCAUGAGUAAUGAAGCUGUAGGGUGAAACGAGCCCUGAACACGAAAAUAUGUCAAACGGAUCUCCAAUCUCUGCCAGGAAAGUGGACCAAGAUGCAGUAUCUGUACACUUCGUAGGCUGAAAGGAGUACAACAUGGCUAUCUCAUGGGUGAAACAAAAUCCAUGACGUCUAAAGGUGCCAAUCGGUCGCAAGUGUGACAUGAACCACACGUACAGCAUGACCGAACUGCCUGUAAAUACUCCUGUCGGAUAAGCAUAGCAGUAUGUAGCCGACCUCAAGGUCUCUGCAAUGAUCAUCGAUAUAAUGGUAUGACCCUCCCUGAGAGCUCUCACUGCUACGAUGAUGCCAAUGUCUAGCUCAUCUAUGUACUGCGGCAUGUAAACGUAUGACAAUACACAUAGAAGCAGUACAUCUACUCUGGCUGAACGCCAAUGAUCCUCCGGUGUGGUGAAAUCCCCGGAAUGUCGUGCAUAGCUAUCCUCAGAGCCAAACCUGUCGAUCAGGAAAAGCUGGGAUAUCACAUGGCCGGAUGUAAGCUCAUCCUGCACUACUCUGCGCCUCAAACCUGUGAGAGUCAUGAACUGUCUACUCAUGUCUCCCAUCGCCAUGUGCACGCAAGGUCUGUCCAGAGGCAGCAUCAUCAAUCGUGCAUACUCCUCCAAAGUAGGCGUCAACUCACGGGUCCCAAAGCGGAAUACCUGUCUAUCUGGUACCCAAUGCUCUAGCAUACCCUCUACAAAGCCUGGAGGAACCUGAAACAUCAGUAAGGUCAUAGUAUGCUGCAACAAGUCAUCUACAAUCACCAUGUCUGAUGGUGAUAUACUAUCAUACCAUGAUCGAAUACCAACUACCACCGUAGAUGGUGGGGUAUGAUCAAUACGGCUAACUGUCGAAGAAGACAUCUGUGCAGGCCGUGUCAUAAGACCAUCCAGUGGUCAAUGCUGAAUAUCUCUGGAUAUACAUACAUAUGCAUAACAAUAACAUACAUGAUACAAUAGAUGGCAAUAUGAUAUAGGGAAUGGAAAAACUGUGCAUACAUUCCUAAGUAUAUCAUCAUCUAAUACAUCUCUGUACAACUAAAAUACAGAGAAAUGGGGCAAAGCUACCCAACAACUAACAGUGGCCUAUCAAAAGAUAUAACGAGAAUGGGGAAAAGCUACCUAGCAUCUAACAGAGGCCUAUCAAAAGAGAUAACGAGAAAUACAUCAAAAAAAGUUAAUAGUGUCAAUGUCCACAUCAUCGAUGCUAUCCACCUGAUAUAACUCCUCCUGAGUCACUGGAUCUUUAUCUACAGGGAUGUCAGGCCUAUACAAGGGAGGAUCUGUGCCGGCAAAACCAAAUCAGUCACCUGAGGGGCCAGCUCCACUGCUGGAAGGAUCAAAAGUAUUUGCCUCUGAAGGAUCUCUGCCCAAAUGCCGAAUGAAAAGAUGUGAUCGGUCCAGCUGCUUAAUCAAUCUCUCGAUCUGUGUCGCAUGAGUCGGAUCUCUGACACAGGAUAGCCAAUCCGUCAUCAUCACGGAUCCUGGAACCAUAUCCCCCAUGAACUGCGUGGCACGGGUCUGAGCUCCAAUGGUACGAGGGAUCCACCAACGCUGGAAUAUCUCCUGAGAACAGGGGCCCUCUGAUAAUGUGAAUCCGUCAAUCCCCAUCAAUGGGAUGUCAAUGACGGGUGACUGCGAAACAGGCCAAUAAUUCCUGGCAGGAGGCAAGAUCGGUAUGCGUAUCUCUCCUGUGGUGUUCCUAAUAGCACGCUCUCCUAAAUAGAACUCCCAUCCUCCAUCGGUAAAGAGAGGAAUCCUAUGGGUGGAUAUGAAGUAAUCUACUCCAGUCGGGUACCUAUCCUCAAAACCAACUCCCAGAUGCUCUCCAGAGUAGGGAAUCCACGUGAUGACAUCAGCUGUCAAUAUCUCCAGCUGCAGGCGACAAUGAGUGAAACCCUCAGAAACAGGGACUCCGCCAGUAUGGAAUGAUGCCAUCUCCGUCCUCGUGGAUAGGUGUCUAAACCUAACACACUCACAGGACGUAAACAAGGGAGCCUCUCAUAAGCCCAAAACUGCCAACACAAAUGCAAAACAUCUACUAUCAGUCAACACUCUUAACCUGUACAUGGUAAAAGACACGAGAAACACUCACCAGCAAAAACGGGUAGAAUCCUAACCACGCCUUGGUCAAGCCCUGCGAUCACAUGCGUAUUCCCCUGAGGAAAUAGGCAAAGGUAUAGGAACCCCAAUCAUACUCUCCUACACGGUCCACGUGUCGAGUGGCGCUAAUCAAAGCGAAAGACACCGUGGAAGAGUUUUCUGCUAUGAAGCAACCCCUAAUGAUCAUCAGGAACAAUCACCGCAGAAUGCGAUCCCUAACUCUCACAUCAGCUGGUAUAGGCUCACUCAACAGGCCACUCAUAGCAUCUACGCUCAAAGGACCUGUCCUAAUAGUCCUGCCCUUGAGCGCCUCCGCCGAAACUCCCAACAAGGAUCUGAUGGCAGUUGGGGUGAUAUCCGUCGUGCAAGGCACUGGCUCCCCUCCAAACUCUAUACCUGUGAUAAAUCGCCAAUCCAUCGGCGUCAUCAUGACCUCACAGUCCAGCAAGUGAAGUGACUGAGUUUGGUGGAACCACCGCUCAGACAAUGCCCUGAGGUAACCCCAGGGACAGCGACGGGGUAGAAUGGAGAAAAACCUCUCAAAUCCCCAGCCAUGGACGAUCGCUCUAUAGUCAUCAUGCAAGGCCUGAUAUAUAGAGUGAAUGCUAAACCAGUUUCCCUAAGGUGGUGUAAAUCCGAGAACUUACAUCAAAUGCAGAUCAACAUCAGACUCCUUGACUCCUCACCAAUAGGAAAUAAGGAAGAUUAAAGAUCUAACUUCAUACCUCGUUUGUGUGCAGGUACACAGAAGGAUGCCUACUCAAGUCACCCAGAAGAUCUGGGUUCGCCACUUGAAUACUUGGCAAUUCCCUGCGAGGAACACGUGCAACAGGAGCGGGACCCUCGAACGGAACAUCAUCCUCCUCGUCCUCAACAUUCGGCAUUUUAACCCGAAUAGGACGCACGACCCCCUCAGCCAAACGACGAGGCUCUCUCAUAGAACGACGCUGAGGCUCUUCAACAGCUCUCCUCCGUACACCAGAAGUAGUCCUGCGGGAACUGCUAGGCUGAUCUGGAUCCAUAAUAUCUGGACAGCAAAUCUCUAAAUCACCUCAGAAAGGGUGUGGUAAUUCUAUACCUGGAGUCUUUUUCAAAAUGCAUUUUAUGAUUACAUGCAUACAUGCAUCGUUUUAAGAUACAUAUGAUGUAGAGUUAAGAAUGCAUAACUGCUCAAUGCCUACAUUUUGAAAUUUUUUGCCAUAGUUUCCUUUGUAAAUGGGACUAUCCACAUGCACAUAGGCAUGACUAGGUGGCCAUUCAGUAGCACACCUGUACACAGUUAUAUACAUCUUGUAUGCAUUCAUCACAUCACAGUGAAAAUCUGUAAGUGUAUUCUAAUUACCAGGAUUAUUUACUACUCUACCUUUACUCAUUUGUCCUCAGAUAGGAUAAGAAAUGACAGUAAAAGGUAUCAAUUUGACUAUUUCAAAAGUCAAAUUUUUUUACAUCAUUAUGUUCAACAUGGUUUAAUACUAACAUUUGCUAUGUUGAAUAUUUUUAUCAAGUCAUAUCAGUAUGCAUAUUCACUACUAUGUGUCUAAAUGCAUUUCAUGCGAUAAGUCAUUUUCCAACGGACAUAAAUUGGAAAAAAAUACAUGCAUGUGUUACCAGGACAGUGAAGAACGCUUGUAUUGUGAUGGAAUAUACAGAAAGUUUCCCGAACUCAGCAGGUCUGCAGAAAAGCUCUCAGAUUUCCUUCGCGGCGCAGCUUGAAAAUGACUUAUGAAAGCAACCAGCUGGCUAUACAUAGCCAUGGCUGGCCGUAGGUCAACCUGCGGCACCUGCAGGUCCACCUGCUGCCCUCCUACAUGGUUCCCACACCUCCGACUCGGUCCAGUUAGAGUUGCAAAGGAGGUUUCACAAGCUGAAAAGGCCAAAUCAGGAGUAAAAACGCUACGCGAUUGAGCGAAAUAGCCUGAAAUUCUGGUUCUCUGUCGGUCAGAGUUAAACUCCCGUCGCCUCAGUGGUAUUCGCCCGGAUAAAAGGUAUACUCUACCACAAAGCUCAGCUUUCACCAACCAUGCUCGACAAUACCUCACAACGGUCCGAUGCCGUCAUUUGCAUGGUUACAUCUAAACAUCCCCGACAGGGGUUACAACGCAAAACCACGAAUCAUCUGAAUAUCCCCGGCGGGGGUUACAACGUCAAAGUUAUCAAGCAUCUACGCAUCCCCAGCGGGGGACACCACGCAAUACAUGUGACGCCCCCAAAAUAGGUAUACGUCACCCAUCUUGAGUCGCCAGAUAUCACACUAUAAAAAUCAAAUACAAACUUCAUUUAUACAACUGUUGAACUGUCGUACAGAGUACGACAACAGAUAAGCUGUGAGUUUCAAUACAAAAUCUAUGUAACUCUUAUGGUGCCUCGACCACAAUACCUUACAAAGGUACUUUACAUAAAAGUAUAGUCAAAAACUGUUUUAGGAAUUAAAAUCUUUGGGAAGUGCUCAAUGAAACCUUCGUACAUGGGAGGCCAUGCGUCUAGGUUAUGGUAGAUAUCAUAUGUCCACAAAAUUAUCCUUGGUUGACCCAAUAGACCCCAAAGAAAAACGAGAAGAUUACUAUCAUCUUCUUUCCAAUGGUGAGUCUUCUCUUGGCAUAUAACUAUCUCCACUGUCUCCAAGUAAAAAUUAUAUUUCAAAUAAACUCCAAGAUCAUAUAGGUAGUGCUCGUAGAUAUACUCAGCAAGUGGAUGUGCACAACCCUGUCUUAUGAUAACACGAGGUUGUAUGUCAUUAGACAUCUUGUAUGAUAGUGGCAAAACACCCUUCCAAAGUUGGGUUCGCCUCACCCUAUUUGAUUCACCAAAUAUAACUAUUAAAUGUCGUAUAAAAUACAACACACUUAUCUUAAAGUUCUCAAUGAAAUUAUUUCCAUACUAUUUAGGGAGAACCUCAACAGCUAUAGACCACCGUUCUAAUCCCCAGUUACCUCCGCUCGACCCAGCUACACUCUUAUUACCUGAAAGGAAUUGUGAAGCAAAAGGGUGAGCACAACUAGCCUAAUAAAGAAUAUCAUGGCUAAAGAUAAUUUAAUUAUCAAUAGCUUUCGUCAAUAAUAAAUCAGAGAUUUAGAACAUAUGGUAGAUGAUAAAACUUUUCAACCGUAGUUGCAGCGGAACGAGCAAUCCACUAAAAGAGUCAAAUAGACCAUCAGGUCUAUUAUCUUCUCCAUGUUAAAAGUCCACCAAUUAUGUUUUAUCCCUGUAACAUCAAUCAACAAUUCAUGUCCACAAUCAUAUGAAUAACUCAUAAUCAUAAUUGUGAUUCUGAAUUUCCUUUUCGCAUCCAGGACGAAGAUAAUUUUCAUCACCUAUCUCCACCUGAAACAUCAAAAAUCAUGGUUAUACCAAAUCACAAUUCCUGCUCAUAAUUAAACUAAAAAAAUUCAUCUUUGCACUACGGCCAAAGAUAUACAACUGUAUAACCAAUAACAAACAGUUCAUCUUUGCACUACAGGCCAAAGAUAUACAAUUGUAAAACCAAUAAUGCUGAGACUCAGCUUAUUAAAUAAACCACAUCAUCGAAUCAUCCCUGUACUAUGGCCAAGGAUAUUCAUUAAAUCACAUCCAUGAAUUAUCCAUGCACUACGGCCAAUGAUAUUCAUUAUUAUCACAUCCGUGAAUUAAUAUUUCAUUGCUGAGACUCAGCUCAAUAAUUAAUCCAUAUCAUCGAAUCAUCCCUGCACUACGGCCAAGGAUAUUCAUUAAAUCACAUUCAUGAAUUAAUAUUUCAUUGUUGAGACUCAGCUCAAUAAUUAAUCCAUAUCAUAGAAUCAUCCCUGCACUACAGGCCAAGGAUAUUCGUUAAUAUCCCGACCACGAAUUAUCUAUGCACUACGGGCCAAAGAUAAUCGUGUUUUCAUCAACGGUCCUGAUCAUGCCAUAAAAGAAUUCAUCUUUGCUCCCUUGGCCGAAGAGAAUCCAUAGCCAUAAUCAUACCAAAAACUGUCCAUCAAUGCACUACGGGUCAAUGAGGACUUUUUCCAUAUCAUUUGUAAUAUUACGGUCAUGAUUAUACCAAAUAAUCUCUGGUCAUAAUCAUACCAAGUCCAUCUAUGCACUACAGGCCACAGAUGACUUUCAACAUAAUAUAAACAUGAGAAUGAUGACAAUGAUAUAAGCAUUUAUCAAACGAAAACAAGGAUAAAUAUUAAAGACUUUAAAUUUAUCCAAAUAUUAUCAAUCACUUAAUAAACUCAUAAUCUAAUAUUAUAACAAUAUUUUAAUCACUUCUUAAACUUAUAAACAAUUUAUUUUAAUUAUUUACAUUUUACCAAAUAAUUCAUUUAAUCGUUCAAAAAUGCUAUACUCAUAAGAUUUCAUCACCAAUGAUUAAAUCCCUCAUCAAAAAUAUGCAUAUACCUUAUAUAGGAUUUUCAAGCCAUAAAAUCCUAUAUUCCAACUUUGUUACUUCACAUAACAUAUUUAACUCAUAUGCUCGUAACUAAACUAUUUUUAUGAAAAAUACCAAAUCAGUCCCAAAAAUAUUUAUUUUCUGGGAUUUAGUAUAAUAUAGUCCCAUAAUGAAAAUAUAUUUUUCUCGGAAUUUUUAAAAUUUAAUUACUAUUUUUCAAAAAUCAAUUUUAAAUUAAUUCCUUAAGAAAUUAGCUACCUCAAGGUUAACUCUAAAAAUUCCCAAAUCUUGGCAGAAUCUUACACAUGUUAACGUGAGCUUCCAGUUUAAAUUUCAUGGUCAUCGGAGUUAUAGAACUCCGGUUAUAGCAUUUUUCGUCGAAAAAACCUAAAUAUUGAAAUGGUCAUAACUUGCUCAUUUUAAGUCGGAAUGAGCUCAUGGACAGGAUGUUCUUAUACCAUAUACUUUCAUGUCCCAAAAGGCCAUAAUUUUUCUCAUAAAUUAAGUGGUCGAAAAUGCCUUUUUUAAAAUCUGGACAGAAACUUUUUGGUAUUUUGCAGCUUUUGACUUCUUUGCUAAAAUCAGUCCACACAAAAAUCUACAACACCUUUUAUAGUGAUUCCACUUGGAGAUGCUACAAGACUCAUAGAUCUAACUCUGGAACCUAACCACACUCAAAAAUUCAAAAUAUAAUAGGAGAUAUGAUCAAUUGAAUUUCAUGUUUCAUUUUCACAAAAAUAUGAUUUUCAACCCUUUGUGAUUUCUAAGAAACUUUCAUGUUUUCACAUAAUAACCAAUAUAACCCCUCAUAACACUUACUAAUACUUCAUAUACACAUGAUUUUCAUUAUUCUAAUGCUUUUAUUAUGACUCUCAUCAUAAUUAACGUAAAUAGAUCAUUUUUAUAAAGGAUCAUUCACCAUGAAUGCGAUAGAGACCGCACAGACAGGUUAUUCCAACAAAAUAAUAAAUAACGGAACCAGGUCAGGUAAAAUUCACACUGACAGGAUGUUCCAACGGAAUAAAUGAAUAAUAAAGACGGAACCAGGUUCGGCGUAAAGCACAGACAGGAUAUUCCAACAGAAUAAUAAAAACGGAACCAGGUCAUGUGAAAUUCACACCGACAGGAUAUUCCAACAGAAUGAUAAAUGCGGAAUAAUAAAUAAUGGAACCAGGUCCGACGUAAAAUGCACAGACAAGAUAUUUCGACAGAAUAGUAAAGAAUUGAAUAAUAGGAGAAUUUCACCAUGUAUGCAGUACUUUGCAUAUACAGGUUAUUCCAACAUAAUAAUAUAGAAUGGAAUAAUAGAAGAAUUUCACCAUGUAUAUGGUACUUCGCAUAAACAGGUUAUUCCAACAUAAUAAUAAGAAUGGAAUAACAUAAGGAUUUCACCAUGUAUAGGGUAUGCCGCGUAUACAGGUUAUUCUAACAGAAUAAUAAAGAAUGGAAUAACAUAAGGAUUUCACCAUGUAUAGGGUAUGCCGCGUAUACAGGUUAUUCUAACAGAAUAAUAAAGAAUGGAAUAACAUAAGGAUUUCACCAAGUAAAGGGUAUGCCGCUUAUACAUGUUAUGUAUAGGGUAUACCACGUAUACAGGUUAUUCCAACAGAAUAAUAAAGAAUGGAAUAACAGAAGUUCUCUUCAUGAAUAAGAAAGAAUAACACCCCUUACACAAUAAUGAUAUCCCUUACCUUAGAAAGUAACUGAAUACUGGAGUAGAGAGGUAGCAGACUUCUCUUCUUCUAUAGAUUUUCUCUCUACAAUUUCUCUCUAUAAUAAUUUCUCUAUAGCUUUAGUGAAUUGGUGAGAAAUGAAGAAGAAUGAACUUCUAUUUAUAGAAAAACAUAGUUUCAAUAAUUGCACAUUUUGGGGCUCAAAAAAUUACAGUACAAUACCUCCCUUUUUUUCUUUAAUUUUAAUUUAGUCAUCCAAGUAUUAUCAAACUUUCACCACCUCCCCUAAUAGUAAAUCAUGUAAAUUAAUAGUUUAUUCAUGUGACUCAAUAGUAAAAUCAUGUGAAAAAACUAAUUACAUUAUAGUACUUUCAUCUAUACCUCAAUUUUUAACUUAGUCAUGCAAGUAUUAUCAAUCUUGCACCAACUCCCCUAAUAGUAACAAGAAUGUGAAUCAAUAGUACACACAUGUGAACAAAUAAUUAUAAACAUGUGAAUUAGUAGCAAUUAAUUGCUCAUUUAUCCGAUAAAUUACCCGAUUUAUCAAUAUAACCCCCAGACAUCAAUUAUCAUCGAAAUAAAUGUCGAUUUUCACUAACACUAACAAUUCUAACAUAAUGAAACUAUUUUUAUCAAAAAUAUAAAAUUUGAAAUUUCGAAGUUUGACUUUUCCCGAAAAGGUCAACUGUUGACUUUUUGACCAAAUAGUGAAUCUCGGAAAAUUUUGUGUUUAUAGACUAUUUUUACUAAUUUCGUUGUUCCGGACUCAAAUAUCACGUCCGCGUCUUCAAAUUCAACUCCGAACUCAAAUUGAAUUUUUUUAUAACAACUUGCAUACUUUGCAAAAUUUUUAAAUAUCACCCUUAAAUUUAACCUUUAUCAAUUUAACCAUUUACUAAAUAGAAUAAUUAUAAGAAAAUUGAAUAAUUUUAUUUUAUAAAAUUCGGGGUCUCACAAUCUCCCCUCCUUAUGAAAUUUUACCCUCGAAAUUUACGUACGUACCUGGUAUGCUGAAGGGAUGAGGAUACCUUGCUUUCUUUUCGAAUUGUACCUUCCCGGUUAUUUUCUCUCUAUCAUGAUUUUCCCAUUGCUCAUCUCCUGUAUUUCAGAUAUCAUUCUAGAAUAUACCUUCAAAACAAAGGUUAAUUGACAUAUCAUAAUUUGUUAACUCAUCAAGUAAACAAUUUCAGCUUAGGUAAUUCACACCCUAGCGAAGUAUAUUACUCGUCUCUCCCCUCCUAGUUCUUAGACUAAUAUCUCCGCCAACGACCAUAUCCCUAAGCUCUGAUACCAAAUGUGACGCCCCCAAAAUAGGUAUACGUCACCUAUCUUGAGUCGCCAGAUAUCACUCUAUAAAAAUCAAAUACAAACUUCAUUUAUACAACUAUUGAACUGUCGUGCAGAGUACGACAACAGAUAAGCUGUGAGUUUCAAUACAAAAUCUAUGUAACUCUCAUGGUGCCUCGACCACAAUACCUUACAAAGGUACUUUACAUAAAAGUAUAGUCAAAAACUGUUUUAGGAAUUAAAAUCUUUGGGAAGUACUCAAUGAAACCUUCGUACAUUGGAGACCAUGCGUCUAGGUUAUGGUAGAUAUCAUAUGUCCACAAAAUUAUCCUCGGUUGACCCAAUAGACCCCAAAGAAAAAUGAGAAGAUUACUAUCAUCUUCUUUCCAAUGGUGAGUCUUCUCUUGGCAUAUAACUAUCUUCACUGUCUCCAAGUAAAAAUUAUAUUUCAAAUAAACUCCAAGAUCAUAUAGAUAGUGCUCGUAGAUAUAUUCAGCAAGUGGAUGUGUACAACCCUGUCUUAUGAUAACCCGAGGUUGUAUGUCAUUAGACAUCUUGUAUGAUAGUGGCAAAACACCCUUCCAAAGUUGGGUUCGCCUCACCCUAUUUGAUUCACCAAAUAUAACUAUUAAAUGUCGUAUAAAAUACAACACAUUUAUCUUAAAGUUCUCAAUGAAAUUAUUUUCAUACUAUUUAGGGAGAACCUCAACAGUUAUAGACCACCGUUCUAAUCCCCAGUUACCUCCACUCGACCCAGCUACACUCUUAUUACCUGAAAGGAAUUGUGAAGCAAAAGGGUGAGCACAACUAGCCCAGUAAAGAAUAUCAUGGCUAAAGAUAAUUUAAUUAUCAAUAGCUUUCGUCAAUAAUAGAUCAGAGAUUUAGAACAUAUGGUAGAUGAUAAAACUUUUCAACCAUAGUUGUAGCGGAACGAGCAAUCCAUUAAAAGAGGUAAAUAGACCAUCAGGUCUAUUAUCGUCUCCAUGUUAAAAGUCCACCAAUAAUGUUUUAUCCCUGUAACAUCAAUCAACAAUUCAUGUCCACAAUCAUAUGAAUAACUCAUAAUCAUAAUUGUGAUUCUGAAUUUCCUUUUCGCACCCAGGACGAAUAUAAUUUUCAUCACCUAUCUUCACCUGAAACAUCAAAAAUCAUGGUUAUACCAAAUCACAAUUCCUGCUCAUAAUUAAACUAACAAAUUCAUCUUUGCACUACAGGCCAAAGAUAUACAAUUGUAAAACCAAUAAUGCUGAGACUCAGCUUAUUAAAUAAACCACAUCAUAGAAUCAUCCCUGCACUACGGCCAAGGAUAUUCAUUAAAUCACAUUCAUGAAUUAAUAUUUCAUUGCUGAGACUCAGCUCAAUAAUUAAUCCAUAUCAUCGAAUCAUCCCUGCACUAAAGCCCAAGGAUAUUCGUUAAUAUCACGACCACGGAUUAUCUAUGCACUACGGGGCAAAGAUAAUCAUGUUUUCAUCAACGGUCCUGAUCAUGCCAUAAAAGAAUUCAUCUUUGCUCCCUUGGCCGAAGAGAAUCCAUAGCCAUAAUCAUACCAAAAACUGUCCAUCAAUGCACUACGGACCAAUGAGGACUUUUUCCACAUCAUUUAUAAUAUUACGGUCAUGAUUAUACCGAAUAAUCUCUGGUCAUAAUCAUACCAAGUUCAUCUAUGCACUACAGGCCACAUAUGACUUUCAACAUAAUACAAACAUGAGAAUGAUGACAAUGAUAUAAGCAUUAAUCAAACGAAAAUAAGGUUAAAUAUUAAAGACUUUAAAUUUAUCCAAAUAUUAUCAAUCACUUAAUAAACUCAUAAUCUAAUAUUAUAACAAUAUUUUAAUCACUUCUUAAACUUAUAAAUAAUUUAUUUUAAUUGUUUACAUUUUAUCAAAUAAUACAUUUAAUCGUUCAAAAAUGCUAUACUCAUAAGAUUUCAUCACCAAUGAUUAAAUCCCUCAUUAAAAAUAUGGAUAUACCUUAUAUAGGAUUUUUAAGCCAUAAAAUCCUAUAUUCCAACUUUGUUACUUCAAAUAACAUAUUUAACUCAUAUGCUCGUAACUAAACUAUUUUUAUUAAAAAUACCAAAUCAGUCCCAAAAAUAUUUAUUUUCUGGGAUUUAGCAUAAUAUAGUCCCAUAAUGAAUAUAUAUUUUUCUCGGAAUUUUUAAAAUUUAUUUACUAUUUUUCAAAAAUUAAUUUCAAAUUAAUUCCUUAAGAAAUUAGCUACCUCAAGGUUAACUCCAAAAAUUCCCAAAUCUUGGCAGAAUCUUACACAUGUUAACGUGAGCUUCCAGUUUAAAUUUCAUGGUCAUCGGAGUUAUAGAACUCCAGUUAUAGCAUUUUUCGUCGGAAAAACCUAAAUAUUGAAAUGGUCAUAACUUGCUCAUUUUAAGUUGGAAUGAGCUCAUUUUUGGACAGGAUGUUCUUUAUACCAUAUACUUUCAUGUCCCAAAAGGCUAGAAAUUUUCUCAUAAAUUAAGUGGCCGAAAAUGCCCUUUUAAAAUAUGGACAGAAACUUUUUGGUAUUUUGCAGCUUUUGACUCCUUUGCUAAAAUCAGUCCACACGAAAAUCUACAACACCUUUUAUAGUGAUUCCACUUGGAGAUGCUACAAGACUCAUAGAUCUAACUCUGGAACCUGACCACACUCAAAAAUUCAAAAUAUAAUAGGAGAUAUGAUCAAUUGAAUUUCAUGUUUCAUUUUCACAAAAAUAUGAUUUUCAACCCUUUGUGAUUUCUAAGAAACUUUCAUGUUUUCACAUAAUAACCAACAUAACUCCUCAUAACACUUACUAAUACUUCAUAUACACAUGAUUUUUAUUAUUUUAAUGCUUUUAUUAUGACUCUCAUCAUAAUCAACGUAAAUAGAUCAUUUUUAUAAAGGAGAUCAUUCACCAUGAAUGCGAUAUAGACCGCACAGACAGGUUAUUCAAACAAAAUAAUAAAUAAUGGAACCAGGUCAGGUGAAAUUCACACCGACAGGAUGUUCCAACGGAAUAAAUGAAUAAUAAAGACGGAACCAGGUCCGGCGUAAAGCACAUACAUGAUAUUUCAACAGAAUAAUAAAAAUGGAACCAGGUCAGGUGAAAUUCACACCGACAGGAUAUUCCAACAGAAUGAUAAAUGCGGAAUAAUAAAUAAUAGAACCAGGUCCGGCGUAAAAUGCACAGACAGGAUAUUCCGACAGAAUAGUAAAGAAUUGAAUAAUAGGAGAAUUUCACCAUGUAUGCAGUACUUUGCAUAUACAGGUUAUUCCAACAUAAUAAUAUAGAAUGGAAUAAUAGAAGAAUUUCACCAUGUAUGCGGUACUUCGCAUAAACAGGUUAUUCCAACAUAAUAAUAAAGAAUGGAAUAACAUAAGGAUAUCACCAUGUAUAAGUUAUUCCGCGUAUACAGGUUAUUCUAACAGAAUAAUAAAGAAUGGAAUAACAUAAGGAUCUCACCAAGUAAAGGGUAUGCCGCUUAUACAGGUUAUGUAUAGGGUAUGCCGCGUAUAUAGGGUAUUCCAACAGAAUAAUAAAGAACGGAAUAACAGAAGUUCUCUUCAUGAAUAAGAAAGAAUAACACCCCUUACACAAUAAUGAUAUCCCUUACCUUAGAAAGAAACUGAAUACUGGAGUAGAGAGGUAGCAGACUUCUCUUCUUCUAUAGAUUUUCUCUCUACAAUUUCUCUCUAUAAUAAUUUCUCUAUAGCUUUAGUGAAUUGGUGAGAAAUGAAGAAGAAUGAACUUCUAUUUAUAGAAAAACAUAGUUUCAAUAAUUGCACAUUUUGGGGCUCAAAAAAUUACAGUACAAUACCUCCCUUUUUUUCUUUAAUUUUAAUUUAGUCAUCCAAGUAUUAUCAAACUUGCACCACCUCCCCUAAUAGUAAAUCAUGUGAAUUAAUAGUUUAUUCAUGUGAAUCAAUAGUAAAAUCAUGUGAAAAAACUAAUUACAUUAUAGUACCUUCAUCUAUACCUCAAUUUUUAACUUAGUCAUGCAAGUAUUAUCAAUCUUGCACCAACUCCCCUAAUAGUAACAAGAAUGUUAAUCAAUAGUACACACAUAUGAACAAAUAGUUAUAAACAUGUGAAUUAGUAGCAAUUAAUUGCUCAUUUAUCCGAUAAAUUACCCGAUUUAUCAAUAUAAACCCCAGACAUCAAUUAUCAUCGAAAUAAAUGUCGAUUUUCACUAACACAAACAAUUCCAACAUAAUGAAACUAUUUUUUUUUUAUCAAAAAUAUAAAUUUUGAAAUUUUGAAGUUUGACUUUUCUCGAAAAAGUCAACUGUUGACUUUUUGACCAAAUAGUGAAUCCCGGAAAAUUUUGUGUUUAUAGACUAUCUUUACUAAUUUCGUCGUUCCGGACUCAAGUAUCACGUCCGUGUCUCCAAAUUCAACUCCGAACUCAAAUUUGAAUUUUUUUAUAACAACUUGCAUACUUUGCAAAAUUUUCAAAUAUCACCCUUAACUUUAACCUUUAUCAAUUUAACCAUUUACUAAAUAGAAUAAUUAUAAGAAAAUUGAAUAAUUUUAUUUCAUAAAAUUCGGGGUCUCACAAUACAACCAUUGAUACACACAUCAAUGAAGGUCAAGCAACCUUGACAUCGUGUCAACCAAUGGCAAGUAAACCCAUUGAAGAAACCUUACUCAACAAGGUCGACGACACAAUGCAACCGUUGAUACACACAUCAACAAAGAUUAGGCAGCCCUGAUAGCAACUAACUGUUGGCAGUAACUCCGACAGUAUGAGGGAACAUGUUAUACACAUCCUCGAAACAUACACAAUUUUAUCCCCACAGAUCUCUUGCACAUGAGAGGUACUUCUAUGGAGUAUAAGCCGGUGUCCAGGAUUCAAGACUUUGGUGUUAGUCCAACGUCAGCAUCCCCGAAUACUUGGAUCGCAUGUCCAAGUCAUCACUGAUUGUCAUACCAAUAGGAAUUCCUGACAAUCAUGCAUACAUUUGCAUACAUUUGCAUCAUGUUGUUGUACAUUGCAUCAUGAUGAUCUUGCUUGAAUUUCAAGUGUCUAGGAUUCUUUAUCCUAUUCAUGCCUUGCAUUGCAUGAACAUGAUAAAGAGGGGCAUCUGUAGACACUCAAAAUUUUCUGCACUCCUAUUACUAACAUUUCAGGAGGGUAGAUUCGUCUUUUGGAGAUAGCCCUGAAAGACAGCCUACAACAGUUCCGGAUACUACUGGGAGUUCCGCUCUAACCCGGAACACAAAUUGGGAGUAUUGGCGCCAAACCCGGAACACACACCGAGAAUGUCAUUUCCAAUCUCGGAGAUAACCCCGAGAUAUGCAGAUCAAAAAACCGGCAACAACACCAGAGAGGACAGUCCUAUCUCGGCGAUAACACCGCAACGUUCAGUUCUAGUCCCAGAGACAACACUGGGAAUAGCAAUCCCAUCCUUGGUGAUAACCCCAAGAGAUGCCACCGCAGUUUUGGCGAUAACUCCGAAAAUGCUUGUAUCAACCACAUGCAAUCAACUUUAAUCACAGAUGACAGUGAGGCACAUAAACAAGCAGUCCAAUCUCAGCUGUAACCUUGAGCAACGUCUACUUUCCGCUUAAAUCGGCGAUAACCCUGGUGAGGAGUCACCAACGUCAUCUCACAACGUCAACAAGAUGAUAUCGCCUCAUACCAACAAGUAGUCCAAUCUCAGCUGUAACCCUGAGCAACGUCUACUUUCAACUCAACCCGGCGAUAACUCCGACAAAGAGUCAAACAUCAUCUUGUUCGUCCACCAAAUGGCACGUCGUCUCAACAUUUCAGACAUACAUACAUCCAACAAUGUCCCGAAUAACCGAGGAAUUACAAUCUCGAGUGACUAUUACGUGUGACAGUACUUUGGAUAGAAUUUGAAGCUUGAAGACCAUGGGCAUAGGCCCCUCUUCCUGACUUCGUACAACUUCUAAUCCAUGUCAUUACGUAACUCUCGACACCAGCGAUCCGAAGAAGUAUAGACACACUUCAUUUGGAUGCUAGGAUUAAAGUUCUGUAAGUUCGAUUGGACAUUACAGUACGCGAGUGCACGUACUACGAGACGAUGAGACCCGCGAAGCCCGGGCCCACCACGACCAGCCGCAGAUAGACCUGCGGCCAUCCGUCUAUAAAUAUAGAGGGGGGGGGGGGGGNNNNNNNNNNNNNNNNNNNNNNNNNNNNNNNNNNNNNNNNNNNNNNNNNNNNNNNNNNNNNNNNNNNNNNNNNNNNNNNNNNNNNNNNNNNNNNNNNNNNNNNNNNNNNNNNNNNNNNNNNNNNNNNNNNNNNUAUAUAUAUAUAUAUAUAUAUAUAUAUAUAUAUAUAUAUAUUUACAUUCCGUCCCUCCUGGAGUUCACUUCGUGGCGGUGAUUGUUUUUACGGCUUUCUUUACAUAUUUGUCCCGCCUGGAGUUCACUUCGUGGCGGUGAUAGCAUUUACUGCUUUAUUUACUUUCCUGAUCCCCCAUGGAGAAUAAUUCGUAGUGGCUGAUCAUGUCAAUAUAUAUAUAUUUACCGCUUUUAUAUAUAUAUUUGCCUGCUUAUCGAUUCCCCAUGGAGAAUAAUUCGUGGUGGCUAUCAUGUCAGUAUAUAUACAUAUAUAUAUAUAUAUAGCAAUGAAGUUUUGUAAAAGGAUUUUUCAAACCCUGUGCUUAAUAGUAAUUGUGGCCUUUGAUACUUCCAUUUUAGUUAAAUGUUCGGCUUAAUUGCUUUUAAUUUUCGAGAUGCGAAGCAUCUUCGAGAAAAUCAUUAACAAAGCAGUGCCGAACUCCUUAUGGGCAUGUAAGCCAUCCAAAGAUAUUCAAACACCGUAAAUAAUUUACAAGCUGCUUACAGCUGAAAAUGUCCAUCACGGGAAUCGAAUCUAGAUUACGUAGGUUGAAUAUGUGAUCACAUGAUUCCUAGGCUCACAUGAUGCCGCAAUUUGUAUGAAAGUAGUAAGCAGGUAUAUAUAUAUAUAUAUAGACAUGAUCAACCACCACAAAGCACCUCCAUGGGUGAUCAGAAAUGUAAAUAAAGCUGUAAAAGCGAUCAACCGCCACGAAGUAAACUCCAGGCAGGACAAAAUAUAUGUAUAUAUAUAUAUAUAUAUAUAUAUUAACAAUAAACGCACCGGAUGUAAAAUCCAGGCUCAUCGAGGCUCAUCGAACAGAGUUCGACAACAGUUUAUAUAUAUANNNNNNNNNNNNNNNNNNNNNNNNNNNNNNNNNNNNNNNNNNNNNNNNNNNNNNNNNNNNNNNNNNNNNNNNNNNNNNNNNNNNNNNNNNNNNNNNNNNNAUCAAGGAUAUUAACAAAAAUUGUCCUAACACAAUUAUAUGUUCACCAAAAUAGAGUUUUAUAGAUAUCCUUCAUUACUUGUCCCCUCAAAGAUCUCUAGAAUUGUUAGGCAACAUGAAACAUCAUGUUGAACAAGCAUUAUCAAUGAAUUUUAAGAUAAACAACAAAAACAGAGAGAAGUAGUUAGCGAAGUGAGAUAAACUUCCAAACACCCUAAAAGUUAUUGUAACUAUACAGUUUGACCUUAGAACAAGAUUAUUCACACAAUGACAACAUGUUAAAGCUAUAGCAUAAGUACAUAAAUGACCAUCUAUUGAACUAAAAUUCUGAAACAGAAGAUAUAUAUACAUAUAUAUAUAUAUAUAUAUAUAUA
rnacentral:lncRNA from 1 species